rnacentral:lncRNA from 1 species
GUCAAAAAAUUGGCCUCAGGAUCUGGGUAACUCACCGCGCCAGAACUGGGGAUAUCGUGGUCCUGGAGAUCAUUCGCCGAGGCGGUCGAUAGACGAUAGCCCACAUUGUGGACUACAUAAAAUCAUUUUGCAAAUUCUGGUUCUCCUAUGUAGCUAUGAUGUGUGUGUGUGUGUGUGGUGUGUGUCUUUUGCUGACUGCAGUUAUUCCGCCUGUCUAGCAUCUAUAGUAGAUAUGUAAUCGAUCUAUGUGAUUCUGAACUGACGGUUCUCUGAGAAAAGCUCAAUGUGAAGUUAUGUGUUGCGGCUUGCUUUACCUGCCGCUACUCGUCUCUUUUUGCCGCCACACUCCCGCCAGCCACCGGCGGUGGCUUCUUCCGCCGCCUCCAGCGUCCAUCCUCUUCAUCCGCCGACGCAGCCAUCGGAAUCCCUUGCUACCUACUCUCACACGGUUUUUUUUUUUGAGACAAAACUCUCACACGGCUGUCCUCUCUGUUAGAAACUUAGAUGGGCUUUAGGCCCAUAUAUCAACUACUCCAUCUGUUUUUUCUAAAUAUAAGCCUUUUUAGAGAUCUCAAUGUGGACUAGAUAUGAAUGUAUACUUUUCACAAAAAAAAUAAAAUAUGAAUGCAUAUUUUUCGACAAAGGGAUAUAUUAAUACACAGAGAUACCAAUUACACCCAGCCUCUGCAACGAUGAAAUAUCCUAGAGACAUUGCGGAUGCACACAACCCAUAAACAAAAAAAAAAGAAAAAACAAAAGAUCUCGCUACAAAUGAUCAAUUCCUAGUAACUGUAGCACAAACCACCACCAAGACAACACCCCGAAAUUCAAAUUCUCCAAAAGCGAUGCAUCCAAGACGGAAACAGUGCACAGGUGUCGUCGUCACCCGAUCAUAUAUCUUAGAUUUUCACCCUCGAAAAAAUGCGCGCUCUCAAAACAAUGCCUUCAACAAGGUCACUGCUAGGCACAACCAAUUAAGGCGAGACCUUGGGUUUUCACCCCGAAAGCUAAAGACUCUGAACUCAUCCUAUGCCGCCACCCCCUCUUUGUCGAUGCCGCUGCUACGAGUCACGAAUCACCAAGCAAAUUCCUCAUCGCCUCGAAGACUAGAUCCGCCAUUACUAGACCUCUGACCUCAGCCACCAUGACGUUAUUCGCCAUUGUCUUCAUCGUGGAAAUCGAAAUACCGACAUGUUCCAUAAUGUCAGCAAUUAACGAAGCUUUGAGUCAAGCCCUCCUGAAGCCACACGAGCUGAAAUAUGGACACACAUGAUUGAAUCCCAUCCGAUCCAGGAAUAUACAGGCGCCAAGCACCUAAUGGAGAUCUCCGGCGGAGCCUUCCGAAACUCGUGAAGGGCCAAAUCAAUGAGGGUCGGCAUCAAGCAGAACACGGUCUUGGCGCUAGCAGAACCCUAGGACCGCCUCCAUUGAUUGUGCAAGCAUGCGCGGCCCCUUUGCCAAGCCUUGUGGCCUUCAGAUCUGGGCAGUAGCACACACAGAGAGACAAAGGAGCCUCAGCCAACAUCGAUUCAGUAGUGACCAGCGCACAACCAAGACCCACUGCCGCGUCCAGUGGCAGAGGACGAAAGUAUUUUGAGGUGGGGCGAACUCUUAAGCCAAAAAAAUAAAAUUGUGCACGACCAACAUAAAGAAUACGAUCAACAAUGAACAAUGCACACCAAUAUUUUCAUAUAAUCCUAAACAGAAUAGCCAACUAAAAUGAAAAUGCAAACAUACUUUAAAAAGACAAACAACCUAAAACAUACCCAUGCAAGUUCUAAUGGCGAGUGGAAGACCCGGGCAACGGUAGUGCCCUACCCUUCUUGUGAAAAUCUUCCUUAAUUUUACCAAGAUCAAGACUUUUGAAUAUCCCUCGUUCAAUGUAACACACCAUCAAGUCAUUAAGCCAGCCAUCGGACAUCUUGCUGCGCAACUCGGUCUUGAUGAUUUUCAUUGCUAAAAAAGCCCUUUCAACUGUUGUUGUCGCCACCGGUAGUAGCAAUGCGAGCUCAAUGAGGCGAUAAACCGUGGGAAACAUGAUGUGCCUUUCAAGUUCAACCAUCUUUUUAGCUAGGCUUGCAAUAUCAUGACAAUCUCUAAAAUCUUCAAUUCUUCUCAUAUGAAUAAUGAAUAGCUCAAGGUGAUCUCGUAUAUGCUCACGGUCAUAACUAGAGAAAUCCUCAUGAUAAAUCUCUGCGAGUCGAGCAAGCUUACUGAUAUUGAACCUAGAAAAGGAGUCUCUUGGGUCAAGACAAGAGAAGUUCUGGAGGAGCUCUGAAGAUACCUCAUUAAAACGAUGAUCAAACUCCGUGGUGAUGGAGUCUAUAGCAACAUAGAAGGUGUCCACACGGAAGAAAUGAUCAGCAGUGACAUUGUUUCUUCCACCUUUUCUUGAUUUCCCCCAUUUUGUGAAGGUGUCAUCCAUACUUGGUAUUGGAAUUUCAUUUUUGGUGCAGAAUGCUUUCACAUCUUCCAAGAGUGGCUCCCAACCAUCAUUUCUCCAAUUGAUCAAACGUGUUCUCACAUCUGUAACCAAUGAUCAAACGUGUUCAUUUUUGGUGCAGAAUGCUUUCACAUCUUCCAAGAGUGGCUCCCGCGCUCGGUGCUGCUGGCCGUCGAUCCCCUCGUCCUCGCGGCCUCGCUCCUGCUGCCGCCCAGGCGCGCCGCUAGGGUUGUCUUUUCUCUCGUGGACGACUAGAUCGAGCCAGGGCGUGGAGGCUUGGACGACUGGAUCGAUCGAUUGAGCGAGGCUGUACGUGCGCCUGUGGGCUGGUGAGGUUGGUUAGGCCGGCCCAAUAAGGUGUCCAUGUUAUAUCCCAGCCCAACAAAACGUUUGACGGUUAUUAUUAGCGAUCAGAUGAAUCCAUCGAUGUAUAUACGUAUACCUAGUAAAAAAAUUCCAAAAAAUCAAGGUAGGGCGAGCGCCCCACCUCGCCCUACCGUGUCCUCCGCCUGUGGCCGCGUCCCACCACCACUCGCCGAGCCCCGCCACCGCAUGUCGCCUGAAGGCUGCAGCCGUCGUGGCCACGGAGCAUCGCCGAAUCCCGUCGGGAACCGCCGCCAACGCUCAUGGGAGCCGCAAGAAGGAGCCCGCCACCACCGUCUGCCACACGGGCUUCGCCCGAAGGCUUCAUCUGUCGGCGGCGUGGGGAGAGGAGCAGAAGAGGCCGGCGAUGUUAGGUUGCGGGUGCCACCCCCGUGUCGCCCCAGGAUAGGGCGGAGCAGGGGUUAUGGACAUUCUCUUUGGGCGCCACAUAUGAAUGCAUACAAACGUAUUUUAAAAGGCAGAUUUACUCAUUUUGUUCUGUUUGUAGUUUGCAUUGGAAAGACUUAUAUUUAAAAACAGAGGGAGUAUUUCCUUAAUACUCCCUCCGUCCCAAAAUAAAUCUCACCUCUAGUAUAACUUUAGUAUGUUGUACUAGAAUUGAGACACUUAUUUUAAAACGGAGGAAGUAUAAAUCUGUCAUAGGCAUUUCUGGUGCCAUGGUAUGAGUGAGAGUUUAGUCCCACAUGAAAAGUGGGGAGAGUUCCAUCAACAUACAAGGAAAUUUCUUCUACAUCUCAUUGUAGCAUUAGAAAGGGAGUGAUGCCCGACUAAAAAAAGAGGAUGCAUGCACUCCUCCAUUGCUGCCUCGUGCAGAUGGGCAUUAUGUUCCGUGAACGAGUCAAACUGAUAUCAGACAUAGGUCAUUUCAGGGGAUUGAUACUCCUCGACACCUUUUGCAUAAGAGACUAAGACAUGAGUAUUCACUUAGCGAACAUAUUAGUACAUAUAAUUGUGUGUCAUCAAUACUAAAACAACACCAUGGGCCUAGAUGCACUUUCAAAAUAAAUUCAGCUUGGAAAUGUAAUCAAGUCUAUGCAUGGCGUAUACGAAUAUAAGAACUACCAAUCUAUAACAAUGGUGUCAUGUUAAAACCAAUCUACAAGGGAUGUUGUGGUCAAUUCUACAACCGAUGUUGUGGUCAAUGUCAAAACGUUUGAAGGGAUAGGAGUUGGCCACUCUACCCUAUCAGUCCUGCCCCUGUAGAAGGUUUGAAGGAGCUUUUUCCAUGAACAAAUGGAGAUUUUUGGUCAAUGUCCAACUGAUGUUUUGGUAAAUGUCCAAUCGGAUCUACAACGGAUGUUUGAUCAAAACGUCAUAACGUUUGAAAGAGUUGGCUACUCUACUCUGUCAGUCUGUAGCCAUUAUCGUUGCCGAACCCAAAGAGGCUUCAACGUCACUUCUUGUUGUUAGCUCCUUUCAAAUGCUACAUUGAAGGAAAUAUGCCCUAAAGGCAAUAAUAAAGUUGUUAUUUUAUAUUUCCUUAUUCAUGAUAAAGAUUUAUUACUCAUGCUAGAAUUUUAUUGAUCGGAAACUUAAAUACAUGUGUAAUAACAUAAACAAAUACCGUGUCCCUAGUAAGCCUAUACUAGACUAGCCCAUUGAUCAAAGAUGGUUAAGGUUUCCUAACCAUAGACAUGUGUUAUCAUUUGAUAACGGGAUCACAUCAUUAGAAGAAUGAUGUGUGAUACGUCUCCAAUGUAUCUAUAAUUUUUGAUUGUUCCAUGCUAUUGUAUCAUCUAUUUUGGAUAUUUUAUAUGCAUUAAUAUGCUAUUUUAUAUGAUUUUUGGGACUAACCUAUUAACCUAGAUCCCAGUGGCAGUGUCAGUUUCUGUUUUUUCCUUGUUUUAAAGUUUCGCAGAAAAGGAAUACCAAACGGAAUAAAACUUUCCCGACGAUUUUUCUUGAACUAGAAGACACUGUCGGCGUUCUAGGAACGGGGGUCCCCAGACUUGCCUGCUUGCGGCCUGCGGCGUGGCUCAAAGGGGGCCCAACACGGCCCAUCUUCAUCAACACGGACCCAAGACCCUCGCGAGGGGCCAAGCCUCGCGGGGCGGACGACACGGAGCUUCCUCAGGCACGGCCUCAUCAGGCUGGCUCGUGAGGAGGCGGAGAGAUCAAGGCGGGGUACCUCACGAGGUGCCCGUGACGCAAGCCAUGACGACCAAAGGCGUCAGGCGGGCGCCAGCCGCGCAGUGUCCUCCUUUCCUCUUUGGUGCAAAGGGAGCAAGCGCAGGCGAGAGCAUCAAGCAAAGGCACCCGUUUCGGUGCAACGAGACCAAGACCAGUCCAACGGCAGGGAGGAAGUCAUUGUGGAGCCCAAGCCAGCGUCACCACCAGAGCCUUUGGCAGGCGAGGACCAACUUUAGUCAGGAUAAGUGUACCAGAUGUUCCCCUUCAAAAUGGCCAAUUGUUGGCGCCCUUCCCGCUCAAUAUUUGGGAAGAGGCCCAGGGCCUUUGCCUAUAAAUAGGACUAUCCACCCCCAGGGUAGGGGGGGUCGAGAAUCGGCCAACCCAGAAACAAGCUGGGAUCGGAUCGAGUAGCAUCACACACAGAGAGAGAGAGAGAGAGAGAGAAGGGUGAUUGAACUCCUCCUAGCAGUUCAUCCCCACAGCCAAGAACAGACCCUCGCGAGGCUGUUCUUCCUUGUAUUGCUCAUCAUCAUCAGCCCAAGAGGCAAUCCACCACACCACACAUUGGAGUAGGGUAUUACACCACAACGGUGGCCCGAACGAGUAUAAACCCUGUGUCUCUUGUGCUGUUCUUUCCAUAGCUUAGAUCUUAGCAUGGCGGUGGGGCGCAGGUAGGUAAAAGGCGAAAUCUCCGCACGCACCCCAGUGUUCGAACCUCAAGGGUCUGCCGGAACCCGAAAUCCGACAUUUGGCGCGCCAGGUAGGGGUGCGCCGGAAUUCGUCUUCCACCACCCCGUUCUCCUCCGACCAUCGCGUCUAUGUCUGACGCUCGUCGGACCCGCGCCGAGCGCCGGGCCGCUCUCGCUUCCCGCGUCGCCCAGACGGCUCCUGUCGGCGGGCGUCCUCGCCGUUCCCCGUCACCUGCCGUCAACGCCGCCACCGGCCCGGCGGGGGACGAGCAGCAAACGUCGUCUCAGCAUCCGUCCGUGCGGCAAGACGGCCGCACCGCUACUCCCUCACUCACCCCAGCUGGUUCUUUGUCCCGCACGCUCCGCGCACCCAUGGAGGCUCGAGCUGCGCUCAUUGCGGCAAACGAGCUCUUGCGCUACCGUCCCGUCGACGACGUCUACGAAGAAUGGCUGGACCGCGUCGCCGAGCUCGUCCGCGCCACAGGGGGCUCUCCUGCGCUGCCCGUUCCGCUGCACCGCACCCCGCCCCGCACGGGCGACGAAGCUCCGGUGGCGCCCCCGCCGCCUCCUCCUCAAGAAGGCGCCAUGGCUCCAAGGCGCGUGGCCCCCGGGCGGAACCCGCUCCGUCAGGUGCCAGCGCGGGAAGAGCAGAACUGCCAAGAAGUCCUUCGCCCGCAAGAAGCUGCCCGGGCGCUCCCUGCUCCAGCACGUCGCGACCAUGCUUCUGCUCCCGCACGUCAAGACCCCGCGCUGCUCCCAGCUGCAGCGCGUGGGGACAUGCAAGACCAAGCUCUCCGUCACCCAAGGCCUUCCGUGGCCACAUCAGGCUGUCGUGCCUUCACCACCGAGCUACGCAGUGUCGCGUGGCCCGGCAAGUUCAAGCCAGACCUGCCUCCUCGUUACGAGGCACGGCCGACCCUGCGGAGUUCCUCCAGCUCUAUUAGCUGGGCAUCGAAGCUGCCAACGGAGACGAGAAGGUCAUGGCGAACUGGUUUCCCAUGGCGCUCAAGGACGGGGCCCGCACCUGGCUCCUGAACCUGGCUCCAGGCACGAUCUCCUCCUGGGACAAGAUGCGCACCCGCUUCAUCGCCAACUUCCAAGGCACUCGCGACCGGCCACCCGCCGUGAGCGACAUGCGCCGCAUCAAGCAACAACCCGGAGAGACCCUACAGAAGUACAUCCAGCGCUUCAACAACGCACGCCUCAAGAUUCCCAAGGUGACCGAGGAGGCCAUCAUCUCAGCCUUCUCCGACGACGUGCGCGACAUCAAGAUGAAGGAGGAGCUGACGAUGCAUGAAGACCUGUGCACUUCCUUGGAGUUGUUCAACUUGGCAACCAAGUGCGCCAGGGCUGAAGAAGGGCGUCUCUCCCUCCUCGAGCUGCCUGCCGCGGACCCAGAAGAGAAGAAGCCCAAGGCCAAGGAUGUGAAGCGCAAGGGGGAUGCCGUGCUCGCGGCAGAACCAGACACCAAGUGGGGCAGAGAUCAGCUCGAAUCUUCCAAGGGAAGUCGGUACUGUGUGUACCACGACCUCCACACCCACAACACCAACGAAUGUCAAGAGCUCCAACAAGUUGGCUUACCUUGUUGGGGGCGCCCCUCGGGCUGCAUCAUCCCCCAAGUCGCUCGGGUCAGACCCAAAGGCAUGUAUCCCUUUUGCGUUUAUUUCCGGCUAUGCGUUCGACCCACCAUGCUUGAUUAUUUGAUGCCUGUCCAUGGCACCUCUUCUUCUCCAUGCUGACCACUUGCACGUUAAAGGGGGGGUACCUGAGCAUCGCGACUCAGGGCUCUUGCUGGCUCUCCAGCCCUCACCCUCUGGCCUGGUCCACGGCAUCGCGGCCUGGCAUACCAGCGACGGCUGAGACCAACUCGAAGGCCGGGACCCGAGGACGUAGAGUGCCGGCAUCUAACCAAAUUUGCAGGGACACAUCACAAGAUAAGGCCCAGUGCCAAGUGCAACCCGCCUAGAGGUAGGGCCCCGUGAGUCCCGCGCUGGCUCACGGGUGCCCAGAUACACCUCGCCAGGCCCUACCGUGUCAGCCACAUGUCAGGGCGGGGCUGUACACGCCCCGGUGGGAGGACCAUGCUCCUCGCUGGCAGACGACACUGCCGAGGAGCGGCUAUGCCCAUACACAUAUGGAAGCGCUAUGCUCCGCGCUGGUGAUAAACAACUGAGGGCGGCCCUCGGGCCGCAUCAACCUCAGGGAGCCCAGAGCUCAGUGUCUAGCCUCAUCGUAACGCCUCCCCUCGGGAGUGCUGCGUGAGGGGGCUGGGCACGGGGGCUGCGCCUGGGUCACGCCCAGACGCACGCCACCCAGCCAGGCCCCCCCGGGCGCGCGUCCCUCCCCGAGCGGAGCCAAGGUACGAAGUCCGUUCGAGCGUCAAGGGGGACUCCUGAGCAUCGCGACUCAGGAGCCUAACUGGUCACGUAGCCCCUCACUCCUUAGUUCCGAAAGGCUAACGACGGUUGAGGUAUGCGCGCGGCCGGGCUCUGCAGACGUAGAACGGUAGAUCCACCCACAUCACACCUCCCUACUUGUUGUUCGUGCACCAAGGGGGACUCCUGAGCAUCGCGACUCAGGAGCCUAACUUGUCACGUAGCCCCUCACUCGUUGGUCCCGUCCUGGUUUCCGGUCGGGGCUAAUGGCGGCUGAGGUAUGCGCGGGGCCGGGCUCUGCCGGCGUAGAACAUAAGCAAGUAGGAAGGAAAAGCGUAAAUUUCAAGGAAUUCAAAAGCAAAUAUUACAGUCCACAUUGUUAUCUCAAUGCCAAACGCAAGUUUAAACGCCUCCCCGAGGCAUGAUACAUGUGCAGGAAUUAAAGGCAGGACAGGAGCCACAACGGAGUCACUUGUCGGCGGUGGAGCAGCGCGGAGUGGGUUCGCCUCAUGGAGCAGCGGGGUCGGCAGCGCCUUGCUUCGGCUUGGUGCUGAAGGCCCAGAACUUCCCUAGCAGGGCCUCCGCGCGACCCUUCACGGCCUCGGCAGCGGCAGCGGCACACUCGCCGCUUACUGGCUCCAGCAGGCUGUCGAGGUCGACGCCGGGAUCGCGAAGGUAGAUGUGGGUGAGGACCCGCGUCAGCGUUGCAGAAGACAGGACACGCACCUCGGCCUCGGCCGUGGGGCCAAGGCCAAGGGCGACAUCUUCAAGAGCGCGAACCAGGAAGGGAAGCAGCUUGGCGGGGCCGUCCUCGGCGCCAGCCAGUGGGCUCUCCAGGCCGCUGUCGUAAAGCGUCCUCAGCGAGGAGCGAGCCUUCGCCUCCAUCUUCGCGAAGGCCACGUAGUCCUCGACAAGAACCUGGGCCUUGUCGUCCAGCUCGACCUUCCUCGCCCCCAACUCCUGCUCUAGCGCGCCUAGGCGGUCGCGACGCUUCCUGAGCUUGGCCUCCCGGCUCUCGACGGCCGCCUCACAAGCCUUCACGCCUUCUUCCUGCUCUUGGCGAAGGCGGACCUCUUUCGUGAGCUGGUCCCGCAGGCCUUGCAGCUCGUCCUCCAGCGCCUUGCAGCGACCACAGACGUCAACCACCUCCCCCAGGGCUGCGUCACGAGCAGCCUUCGCCUCAAGGACGGCCUGCCUCUCCUCAUCGCAAGCCGUCGAGGCCUGGACCAGCGCCGCCCGAAUCGAAGCGUCGGAGCGAAUCCAUCCUGAAGCCAGCUCCAAGCGCCCAGCCACCAAGCGAGAGUCGGCGUCAAGAAGAUCCUGCCGCAGCCGGUCCAGCUCAGCAGCAGCACGAUCUAGAACGGCAUGAGGAGUCGGAGAGACAGCAGUCGAUGGAGUAGGAGGAGAAGGCGGCAGCGCGGCCACAGCAUCCCGAGGUGAAGCUUGCUGCGCCCCAACGGCUGUAGUGGCGGCAGCAGGCAAAGGUGCCUCGGGAGUCACUUGGGCCAUGGGGGCUGAGCUCGCCCCAGCCGGCUCAGUCAGGCCUCGCGAGGACGACCGGGCAGGAGAAGCCCGUGCGUCGCGGUCACCUUCCUUCGCGGGUGGAGGCGCUGCCACGGAUGGUACCUCAGGAGCUCCCUUCGGCCUCUUUGCUGCGGGUGCCAGCCUAUCCAAGAGAUGCGGACGUCAAGCCUCAGAAGCAGAACAAGAAAUAAAGACAAGAAUCAAGCGCUUACGGGUCGUCGCCAGUAAGCUCAAGCGGCCUCCGGCCAAAUUUAAAGCCUGAAAGCCGGCUAAAAGGGUCAACCUCGAGAAACUUGGAAGCAGAAGGCGCGUCUGCGGUUCGCCUCGGGGCUGGGGCAGACCCGCGGGAGAUCAGCCCGGUCCUGUCCUUCUUCGGGAUCGAGGGCAAGCUCCCGCCGUCCUGCUCGUCAUUAUCCUCGUCGUCAUCGCUCGGAGAGAGGCGGAGAACACGGGACCUACGCUGGGGGAGGGGAGCCCUCGACUCUCCGUCAGUCGCCUCGGAGUCAGGCCCUUUUCCCCGCUCCCCUCCUUCCUCCUCUUCGCUGGAGUCGUCGGAGGACACGUCCACCGAUUCCCCGGGAGUUUCCAUGGGCACGGGCCCGUCCCUGUUGAAGACGGGCAUGGACUCCACUACCUGCUCCCAGUCAUCGCGGAGGAACAAGGGCGUAGGAGCGCCCUCCAACCUCGCCACAUCGCCCCCGACCAGAGAUUGGAGGACCGCAGCCAGAUCUUCGUCGGCCAAGGCCACGGGGCUCGGAUGGGGCCUCCACAUCGGAAGUGAGUACUGCCGAAGCGGAGCCAGCUGGCGCUCCAGGAAUUCCCUCAGCAGCGACGCGCCGGUCAGCUUCGCCGCCGCCAUGUUGGCCGGCCUCAGAUCCGCGUCCAUCUUCUCCAACACCAGCUUCGCGUGGGGUCUGCGAGCUCCGCUCGGCCCCAAUCGCUGGAGCUCGUGGGUUUCUCCAUGGGCAAGAUCAGCCAAGGGUGGAUGCGCCCAGCAUCUGCCAAGACCCACUUGCUCCUGAAGCCCUCAAUCCUUUUCCCGGGGUUCGAAAUGGCAAUGGCACCACCGUACGCGAUGAAGCUCGUGCACGCGGAAGCGGGACCGCGAGAGGUCCGGAGGUAGAAGUAGUGGCGCAGCAAGGCCACCGAGGGCUGCAACCCUAUGUGAGCCUCGCAGUAAUAGGCGAAGAUUGCCAGGAGAAGGACGGAGUUGGGGUGGAGAUGCAGAGCCUGUAGCUUAUAAUGGCGGAGAACAGAGAAGAAGAACUCGGAGAAGGGAGGCACCAGGCCAGCAGCAAUGGCGCUCACAAAGAACGGAUAGAAGGUGCUCCCUUCGCCCUCAGGGGUGGCGGAGCUGGCCUUGAACACCUUCCCCCCGUCGAUGCCCUGCGCCGCCGCCAUCCGGCGCAACCGGGCGAGGCUCGCCUUAGACACGUUCGGCGAGUCCAGGGCAGACAAGUACCAAGCUCCGGUCGGGGACUGACGAGGCGCCAUGGCUUCCUAGGUCACGCGAUCGGAGUAGAUCUGGAAAUUUUGGAGGAAGGAAGGAGAGGCGCAAGAAAGGGGAUCUGAGCAGCAACCGGAGAAAGCAAAAAAAAAAAGCAAAGCCUAGGCAGAUGCCGCUCCCUUAUCAACUCGCACGGUUGCUGAGGCGCCCACGUCCAGUCAACCGCCACGCGGCGCCCAAGGCCGCAAGCUGUUAGGGCCCGCGGCGCUUCGCUCUUGCCCUUUCGCCUCCCUGCACGGCCAAGUCCGGGCGCGCCUUGGGCCCGGGGGCUACUGUCGGCGUUCUGGGAACGGGGGUCCCUAGACUUGCCUGCCUACGGCCUGCGGCGUGGCUCAAAGGGGGCCCAGCACGGCCCAUCUUCAUCAACACAGACCCAAGACCCUCGCGAGGGGCCAAGCCUCGCGGGGCGGAUGACACGGAGCUUCCUCAGGCACGGCCUUAUCAGGCUGGCUCGCGAGGAGGCGGAGAGAUCAAGGCGGGGUACCUCACGAGGUGCCCGUGACGCAAGCCAUGACGAGCAAAGGCGCCAGGCGGGCACCAGCCGCGCAGUGUCCUCCUUUCCUCUUUGGUGCAAAGGGAGCAAGCGCAGGCGAGAGCAUCAAGCAAAGGCACCCGUUUCGGUGCAACGAGACCAAGACUAGUCCAACGGCAGGAAGUCAUUGUGGAGCCCAAGCCAGCGUCACCACCAGAGCCUUUGGCAGGCAAGGACCAACUUUAGUCAGGAUAAGUGUACCAGAUGUUCCCCUUCAAAAUGGCCAAUUGUUGGCGCCCUUCCCGCUCAAUAUUUGGGAAGAGGCCCAGGGCCUUUGCCUAUAAAUAGGACUAUCCACCCCCAGGGUAGGGGGGAUCGAGAAUCGGCCAACCUAGAAACAAGCUGGGAUCGGAUCGAGUAGCAUCACACACACACACAGAGAAGGGUGAUUGAACUCCUCCUAGCAGUUCAUCCCCACAACCAAGAACAGACCCUCGCGAGGCUGUUCUUCCUUGUAUUUCUCAUCAUCAUCAGCCCAAGAGGCAAUCCAUCACACCACACACUGGAGUAGGGUAUUACACCACAACGGUGGCCCGAACCAGUAUAAACCCUGUGUCUCUUGUGCUGUUCUUUCCAUAGCUUAGACCUUAGCGUGGCGGUGGGGCGCAGGUAGGUACAAGGCGAAAUCUCCGCGUGCACCCCAGUGUUCGAACCUCAAGGGUCUGCCGGAACCCAAAAUCCGACAGACACCCAGGAGACUUGGAGUGCAAGUUAGAGGAGCCUCGAGGCGGCCACAAGGGUGGAGGGCGUGCCCAGGUGGGUGGGACGCGCAGCCCAACCUUGUGGGCCCCUCAUAGCUCCCCUGACCUAAUUCUUUCGCCUAUAUAUACUCUUAUACCCCAAAAACAUCUAGAGGAGCCAUGAAACCACUUUUCCACUAUCGCAACCUUCUGUACCCGUGAGAUCCAUCUUGGGGCCUUUUCCGGCAUCCCGCCGGAGGGGGAAUCGAUCCCAGAGGGCUUCUACAUCAACACCAUUGCCUCUCCGAUGAAGCAUGAGUAGUUUACUUCAGACCUACGGGUCCAUAGCUAGUAGCUAGAUGACUUCUUCUCUCUCUUUGAUUGUCAAUACAAAGUUCUCCUCGAUGUUCUUGGAGAUCUAUUCGAUGUAAUACUCUUUUCUGGUGUGUUUGCCGAGAUCCGAUGAAUUGUGGAUUUAUUAUCAGCUUAUCUAUGAAUAUUAUUUGAAUCUCCUCUGAAUUCUUAUAUGCAUGAUUUGAUAUCUUUGCAAGUCUCUUCGAACUAUCGAUUUGGUUUGGCCAACUAGAUUGAUUUUUAUUGCAAUGGGAGAAGUGCUUAGCUUUGGGUUCAAUCUUGCGGUGUCCUUUUCUAGUGACUGUAGGGGAAGCAAGGCACGUAUUGUAUUGUUGCCAUCGAGGAUAAUAAGAUGGGGUUUUCAUCAUAUUACUUGAGUUAAUCCCGCUACAUCAUGUCAUCUUGCUUAAUGCGUUACUCUGUUCUUAUGAACUUAAUACUCUAGAUGCAAGCAUGAGUCAGUCGAUGUGUGGAGUAAUAGUAGUAGAUGCAGAAUCGUUACAAUCUACUUGACACGGACAUGAUGCUUAUAUUCAUGAUCAUUGCCUUAGAUAUCAUCAUAACUUUGUGCUUUUCUAUCAAUUGCUCGGCAGUAAUUUGUUCACCCACCGUAAUAUUUUCUAUCUUGAGAGAAGCCUCUAGUGAAACCUAUGCCCCCCGGGUCUAUUUUCCAUCAUAUAAGUUUCCGAUCUACAAUUCUACUUUCCUAUUUACUUUCUUUUGCAAUCUUUUACUUUCCAUUCCAUAAACCAAAAAUAACAAAAAUAUUACUUUACCGUUUAUCCAUCUCUAUCAGAUCUCACUUUGCGAAUAACCGUGAAGGGAUUGACAACCCCUUUGUCGCGUUGGUGUUUGUUUGUGAAGGUAUUCAGUGUCUUGUUGCAUAGUCUCCUACUGGAUUGAUACCUUGGUUCUCAAAACUGAGGGAAAUACUUACGCUCCUUCUUCAAGGGAAAAACCAAUGCAAGCUCAAGAGGUAGCAAGAAGGAUUUCUGGUGCCGUUGCUGGGGAGAUCUACAUCAAGCCAAGACAUACCAAGUACCCAUCAUAAACUCUCAUCUCUCGCAUUACAUUAUUCGUCAUUCGCCUCUCAUUUUCCUCUCCCCCACUUCUAAAAUGAUUUUCGAAAAGAUUCGCCUUUUCUUCGCCUCUCUUUCGUUCGUCUUCUUCGCUUGCUUUUUGUGUGCUCGUGUGUUGAAUUGCUUGCUUUGUCAUGAUGGCUCAAGAUAAUACCAAAUUGUGUGACUUUUCCAAUACCAACAAUAAUGAUUUUAUUAGUACUCCGAUUGGUCCCGAUGCUAAUGCGGAAUCUUGUGAGAUUAAUACUGCUUUGCUGAAUCUUGUUAUGAAAGAUCAAUUUUCCGGCCUUCCCAAUGAAGAUGCCGCAUCCCAUCUUAAUAAUUUCUUUGAUUUGUGCGAUAUGCAAAAGAAAAAAAUGUGGAUAAUGAUAUUGUUAAGUUGAAGCUAUUUCCGCUCUCUCUUAGGGAUCGCGCUAAAACUUCGUUUUCAUCUUUGCCUAAAUAGUAUUGAUUCAUGGAAUAAGUGUAAAGAUGCUUUUAUUUUCAACUAUUUUCCUCCCGCUAAGAUAAUCUCCCUUAGGAACGAUAUUAUGAAUUUUAAGCAACUUGAUCAUGAACAUGUUGCACAAUCUUGGGAGAGGAUGGAAUUGAUGAUUAGAAAUUGCUCUACUCAUGGUUUGAAUUUAUGGAUGAUUAUACAACAUGUUCAUGAAAUUAUUCCGGAUUGAAUUUUGCUUCUAGAAAUCUUUUAGAUUCGGACGCGGAUGGAAAUUACUUUAGGAUAAGAUACUAAACUCCUAGAUAAUAUUAUGGUUAACUAUUCUCAAUGGCAUACCGAAAGAUCUUCCGCUAGUAAAAAAGUGCAUGCAAUUGAAGAUAUAAAUGUUUUGAGUGGAAAGAUGGAUGAGCUUAUGAAUGUUUUUGCUAGUAAGAGUGCUCCUAUUGAUCCUAAUGAUAUGCCUUUGUCUACUUUGAUUGAAAACAAUAAUGAAUCUAUGGAUGUGAAUUUUGUUGGUAGGAACAAUUUUGGUAAUAAUGCGUAUAGAGGUAAUUUUAAUCCUAGACCAUUUCCUAGUAAUUCCUCUAAUAAUUAUGGUAAUCCUACAACAAUUCUUAUGGAAAUUAUAAUAAGAUACCCUCUGAAUUUGAGAAUAGUGUUAAAGAAUUUAUUAGUUCACAAAAUAAUUUCAAUGCUUUGAUUGAAGAAAAAUUGCUUAAGAUUGAUGAUUUGGCUAGGAAUGUGGAUAGAAUUUCUUUUGGUGUUGAUUCUUUGAAACUUAGAUCUAUUCUACCUAAGCAUGAUAUCAAUGAGUAUCUCAAAUCCAUGAAAAUUUCUAUUGAUGAAUGCAAAGAAAUAACCGCUAAGAUGCGUGCUAAGAAAGAUUGGUUUAUAAAAGCGUGUUCUUCUAGUUUUCGUGAAAAUAAUGAUGAAGAUCUAAAAGUGAUUGAUGUGAGUCCUAUUGAAUCUUUGUUUUCCAAUAUAAAUCUUGAUAAAUAUGGGACUGGAGAUGAGUCAACUUUAGUUAGAAGGUGUCCCAAUGAUUUGGAAUUUUUAGAUCUUGAUGCAAAAAUUGAUAAAAGUGGGAUUGAAGAGGUCAAAACUUUAGAUAGCAAUGAACCCACUAUUUUGGAUUUCAAGGACUUUAAUUAUGAUAAUUGCUCUUUAAUAGAUUGUAUUUCCUUGUUGCCAUCUGUGUUGAAUUCUCCUCAUGCUUAUAAUCAAAACAAAGCUUUUACUAAACAUAUCGUUGAUGCUAUGAUGCAAUCUUAUGAAGAAAAGCUUAAUUUGGAAGUUUCUAUUCCUAGAAAACUUUAUGAUGAGUGGGAACCUACUAUUAAUAUUAAUAUUAAAUAUUAUGAAUGCUAUGCUUUGUGUGAUUUGGGUGCUAGUUUUUUUCAUGAUUUCGAAAACUUUAUGUGAUGUGUUAGGUUUCCGUGAAUUUAAUGAUUGUUCCUUAAUUUUGCAUCUUGCAGAUUCCACUAUUAAGAAACGUAUGGGAAGAAUUAAUUAUGUUCUUAUUGUUGCAAAUAGGAAUUAUGUGCCCAUAGAUUUCAUUGUUCUUGAUAUAGAUUGCAAUCCUACAUGUCCUAUUAUUCUUGGUAGACCUUUCCGUAGAACGAUUGGUGCAAUUAUUGAUAUGAAAGAAGGAAACAUUAGAUUUCAAUUUCCAUUAAUGAAAGACAUGAAACACUUUUCAAGAAAGAAAAUUAAGUUUCCUUAUGAAUCUAUUAUGAGAGCCACUUAUGGAUUGCAUGCCAAAGAUGAUAAUACUUAGAUCUAUUCGUGUUUUUAUGCCUAGCUAGGGGCGUUAAACAAUAGCGCUUGUUGGGAGGCAACCCAAGUUUAUUUUUGUUCUUGCUUUUUAGGUCCUGUUUUGAUUUGAAUAAAUCAUCCAGCCACUUUUUAGAUGUUGCUUUGUGUUUUAAUUAGUGUUUGUGCCAAGUAAGACCUUUGGGAUAGCUUACGAUGAUAGUUGAUUUGAUCCUGCUGAAAAAUAGAAACUUUUGUGCCCAGGAGAUUAGUUUUAAUUUUUAACAGAAGCGUGAUAAAAUAAUGAUUACUUUUGAAGAGGAUUAAUAAACAAAUUAUCUAGGACUUCCUGAUUUAUUAGAAUUUUUGGAGUUACAGAAGCAUUCUAAAUAUCCAGAUUGCUACAGAUCGUUCUGUUUUUGAAAGAUUCUGUUUUUCGCGUGUUGUUUGCUUAUUUUGAUGCAUCUAUGGCUAGUAUCGGGGGGUAUGAACCAUGGAAAAGUUGUAAUACAAUAGAUAUUACACCAAUAUAAAUAAAUAAUGAGUUCACAAUAGUACCAAAAGUGGUGAUUUAUUUUCUUAUACUAACGAAGCUUACGAGAUUUUCUGUUGGAGUUUUGUGUUGUGAAGUUUUUAAGUUUUGGGUAAGGAUUUGAUGGACUAUGGAAUAAGGAGUGGCAAGAGCCUAAGCUUGGGGAUUCCCAAGGCACCCCAAGUUAAUAUUCAAGGAUGUUAAAAAGCCUAAGCUUGGGGAUGCCCCGGGAAGGCAUCCCCUCUUUCGUCUUCGUCUAUCGGUAACUUUACUUGAGGCUAUAUUUUUAUUCAUCACAUGAUAUGUGUUCUGCUUGGAGCGUCUUGUAUGAUUUGAGUAUUUGCUUUUUAGUUUUCCACAAUCAUCCUUGCUAUACACACCUUUCGAGAGAGACACACAUGAAUCGUGAUUUAUUAGAAUGCUCUAUGUGCUUCACUUAUAUCUUUUGAGCUAGGCAAAAUUUGCCUAGUGCUUCACUUAUAUCUUUUUAGAGCACGACGGUGGUUUUAUUUUAUAGAAAUUGAUGAAAUAUCGUAAUUCACUUAUAUUAUUUUGAGAUACUCUAAACAACAUGGUAAUUUGCUUUGCUUAUAAAAUUAGUCCUCAUAAGAUAGGCAUCCAAGAGGGAUAUAAUAAAAACUUUCAUAUAAAGUGCAUUGAAUACUAUGAGAAGUUUGAUUCCUUAUGAUUGUUUUGAGAUAUGAAGAUGGUGAUAUUAGAUUCAUGCUAGUAGGUACUUGUGAAUUUGAUAAAUACUUGUGUUAAAGUUUGUGAGUCCCAUAGCAUGCAUGUAUGGUGAACCGUUACGUGAUGAAGUCGGAGCAUGAUUUAUUUUUUGAUUGUCUUCCUUAUGAGUGGCGGUCGGGGACGAGCGAUGGUCUUUUCCUACCAAUCUAUCCCCCUAGGAGCAUGCGCGUAGUACUUAGUUUUGAUGACUAAUAGAUUUUUGCAAUAAGUAUGUGAGUUCUUUAUGACUAAUGUUGAGUCCAUGGAUUAUACGCACUCUCACCUUUCCGCCAUUGCUAGCCUCUCUAGUACCGCGCAACUUUCGCCGGUACCAUAAACCCACCACACAUCCUUCCUAAAAACAGCCACCAUACCUACCUAUUAUGGCAUUUCCAUAGUCAUUUCGAGAUAUAUUGCCAUGCAACUUUCCACCAUUCUGUUUAUUAUGACACGCUCCAUCAUUGUCAUAUUGCUUUGCAUGAUCAUGUGGUUGACAUGGUAUUUGUGGCAAAGCCACCGUUCAUCAUUUUUUAUACAUGUCGCUCUUGAUUCAUUGCAUAUCCCGGUACACCGCCGGAGGCAUUCACAUGGAGUCAUAUUUAUUCGAAGUAUCUGUUGGAAAUAUGCCCUAGAGGCAAUAAUAAAAGUAUUAUUAUGAUAUUUCUUUGUUCAUGAUAAUAGUCUUUUAUUCAUGCUAUAACUGUAUUAUCCGGAAAUCGUAAUACACGUGUGAAUACAUAGACCACAAUAUGUCCCUAGUGAGCCUCUAGUUGACUAGCUCGUUGUGAUCAACAGAUAGUCAUGGUUUCCUGGCUAUGGACAUUGGAUGUCGUUGAUAACGGGAUCACAUCAUUAGGAGAAUGAUGUGAUGGACAAGACCCAAUCUUAAGCAUAGCACAAAGGUCGGUUAGUUCGUUUGCUAGAGCUUUUCCAAUGUCAAGUAUCUCUUCCUUCGACCAUGAGAUCGUGUAACUCCCGGAUACUGUAGGAGUGCUUUGGGUGUACCAAACGUCACAACGUAACUGGGUGAUUAUAAAGGUGCACUACAGGUAUCUCCGAAAGUGUCUGUUGGGUUGACACGGAUCGAGACUGGGAUUUGUCACUCCGUAUGACGGAGAGGUAUCUCUGGGCCCACUCGGUAAUGCAUCAUCAUAAUGAGCUCAAGGUGACCAAGUGUUUGGUCACGGGAUCAUGCAUUACGGUACGAGUAAAGUGACUUGCCGGUAACGAGACUGAACAAGGUAUUGGGAUACCGACGAUCGGGUCUCGGGCAAGUAACGUAUCGAUUGACAAAGGGAAUUGUAUACGGGGUUUGAUCGAAUCCUCGACAUCGUGGUUCAUCCGAUGACAUCAUCGAGGAGCAUGUGGGAGCCAACAUGGGUAUCCAGAUCCCGCUGUUGGUUAUUGACCGGAGAGUCUCGGUCAUGUCUGCAUGUCUCCCAAACCCGUAGGGUCUACACACUUAAGGUUCGAUGAUGCUAGGGUUAUUAGGAAGACAAGUAUGUGAUUAUCGAAUGUUGUUCGGAGUCCCGGAUGAGAUCCCGGACGUCACGAGGAGUCCCGAAAUGGUCCGGAGGUGAAGUUUUAUAUAUGGGAAGUUGUUAAACGGGCACCGGAAAGUUUCGGGGUCAUACCGGUAUUGUACCGGGACCACCGGAAAGGUUCCGGGGGUCCACCGGGAGGGACCACCCCUCCCGGGGGGCCACUUGGGCUGCGUAGGGAUAGCAGCCAGCCCCUAGUGGGCUUGGCGCGCCCCCCCUUGGGCCCAUGCGCCUAGGGUUGGGGGGGAAACCCUAAAGGGGGCGCACCCCCCUUGCUUGGGGGCAAGCCCCCCACCCUUUGGCCGCCGUCCCCCUCUAGGGUUUCCCCUAGAGGGACGGCCCCCUUGCCCCUCUCCUCCUAUAUAUAGAGGGGUGAGGGGAGGGCUGCUGUACACCACAACUCAAGGCGCAACCCCUCCCCUCCCCAACACCUCUCCUCCUCCGUACGUGCUCGGCGAAGCUCUGUCGGAAUACUGCUGCACCAACUGCACCACGCCGUCGUGCUGCCCUUGGAGCUGCCUUCCUCAACCUCUCCUUCCUCCUUGCUGGAUCAAGACGGAGGAGACGUCGUCCGUCCCGUAUGUGUGUUGAACGCGGAGGUGCUGUCCGUUCAGCACUUGGUCAUCGGUGAUCCGAAUCACGACGAGUACGACUCCAUCAUCACCAUCCCCUUGAAUGCUUCCGCACUCGAUCUACAAGUGGUAUGUAGAUGCAAACUCUUCCCCUUGACUCUUUGCUUAGAUGAACUCAUAGAUGGAUCUUGGUGAAACCGUAGGAAAAAUUUUAAUUUUCUGCAACGUUCCCCAACAGUGGCAUCAUGAGCUAGGUCUAUGCGUAGUUCUCUUUGCACGAGUAGAACACAAUUUUGUUGUGGGCGUGGAUCUUGUCAACUUACUUGCCACUACUAGUCUUUUCUUGCUUCAACGACAUUGUGGGAUGAAGCGGCCCGGACCAAGCUUACACGUACGCUUACGUGAGACUGGUUCCACCGAUUGACAUGCACUAGUUGCAUAAGGUGGCUGGCGGGUGUCUGUCUCUCCCACUUUAGUUGGAGCGGAUUCGAUGAAAAGGGUCCUUAUGAAGGGUAAAUAGAAGUUGACAAAAUCACGUUGUGGUUAUUCGUAGGUAAGAAAACGUUCUUGCUAGAACCCAAUUGCAGCCACGUAAAAGAUGCAACAACAAUUAGAGGACGUCUAACUUGUUUUUGCAGCGAUUGAUCAUGUGAUGUGAUAUGGCCAGAAGUUGUGAUGAAUGAUGAAUUGUGAUGUAUGAGAUCAUGUUCUUUGUAAUAGGAUUCACGACUUGCAUGUCGAUGAGUAUGACAACCGGCAGUAGCCAUAGGAGUUGUCUUUAUUUUUUGUAUGACCUGCGUGUCAUUGAAGAAUGCCAUGUAAACUACUUUAGUUUAUUGCUAAACGCGUUAGUCAUAGAAGUAGAAGUAGUCGUUGGCGUGACAACUUCAUGAAGACACGAUGAUGGAGAUCAUGAUGAUGGAGAUCAUGGUGUCAUGCCGGUGACAAGAUGAUCAUGGAGCCCCGAAGAUGAAGAUCAAAGGAGCUAUAUGAUAUUGGCCAUAUCAUGUCACUACUUUAUAUAAUUGCAUGUGAUGUUUAUUAUGUUUUAUGCAUCUUGUUUACUUAGGACGACGGUAGUAAAUAAGAUGAUCCCUUACAACAAUUUCAAGAAGUGUUCUCCCCUAACUGUGCACCGUUGCUAAAGUUCGUCGCUUCUAAGCACCACGUGAUGAUCGGGUGUGAUGGAUUCUUACGUUCACAUACAAUGGGUGUAAGACAGUUUUACACAGCAAAAACACUUAGGGUUAACUUGACGAGCCUAGCAUGUACAGACAUGGCCUCGGAACACGGAGACCGAAAGGUCGAACACGAGUCGUAUGGAAGAUACGAUCAACAUGAGAAUGUUCACCGAUGAUGACUAGUCCGUCUCACGUGAUGAUCGGACACGGGCUAGUCGACUCGGAUCGUGUAACACUUAGAUGACUAGAGGGAUGUCUAAUCUGAGUGGGAGUUCAUAAUUUGAUUAGAACUUAAUUAUCAUGAACUUAGUUUAAAACCUUUGCAAAUAUGUCUUGUAGAUCAAAUGGCCAACGCUCAUGUCAACAUGAACUUCAACGCGUUCCUAGAGAAAACCAAGCUGAAAGAUGAUGGCAGCAACUAUACGGACUGGGUCCGGAACCUGAGGAUCAUCCUCAUAGCUGCCAGGAAACAAUAUGUCCUAGAAGGACCGCUAGGUGACGCUCCCGUCUCAGAGAACCAAGACAUUAUGAAUGCUUGGCAGUCUCGUGCUGAUGAUUACUCCCUCGUUCAGUGUGGCAUGCUUUACAGCUUAGAACCGGGGCUCCAAAGCGUUUUGAGCAUCACGGAGCAUAUGAGAUGUUCGAGGAGCUGAAACUAGUUUUCCAAACUCACGCCCGGGUCGAGAGAUAUGACAUCUCCGACAAGUUCUAUAGUUGUAAGAUGGAGGAAAAUAGUUCUGUCAGUGAGCACAUACUCAAGAUGUCUGGGUUGCACAACCGUAUGACCCAGCUGAAUAUUAACCUCCCUGAUGAGGCAGUCAUUGACAGAAUCCUUCAGUCGCUCCCACCAAGCUACAAGAGCUUUGUGAUGAACUACAAUAUGCAGGGGAUGGUAAAGACCAUUCCUGAAGUAUUUUCUAUGCUGAGGUCAGUGAUGGGGUUAUGUACCUAGGGUAGGGUCAUGGACCUGAUCUAAGUACCUUACCCAAGGACAUCCUUAGAAGAGGUCGCCUUCCAGUCGACCGACGAGGACUCACUCGACUGGCCUGAAGGACUCGACUACGAAGACUCAUUCGACCACCAGGAGGUCAAUAGGCACUCUGCACUGCAACGACCUGUAAUCAAGUAGACUUUAUGAUAGUAAAGGCACUUUAUGUGGGGCGUUACCAGUAACGCCCCAGACUUAACUCACCUUAAACCCUCUCCUACGUGGGCUGGCUGGGGUCCUGGCGAACUCUAUAUAAGCCACCCCCCUCCACAGGCAGAGGGGUUCGGCACCUUGUAGUUCAUAUACUCAUAAUCCACUCGACCGCCUCCGGGCUCCGAGACGUAGGGCUAUUACUUCUUCCGAGAAGGGCCUGAACUCAUACAUCCUUUGUGUUUACAACCUCUCCAUAGCUAGGACCUUGCCUCUCCAUACCUACCCCCACUCUACUGUCAGGCUUAGAACCACGACAGUUGGCGCCCACCUUGGGGCGGGUGUUUUAGCGAUUUUGUGGAGAAGUUGCGAUUCUUCCGAGGACUUUCAUCAUGGUGUCUGCUGGAGUUUUGGUCGAGGGUCAAGAGAUCCGUCUCGGCACUCUCAUCUUCAUCGCCGACGACUCCGCAUGGCUCCAGGAGGCUCCACUCGACGUAGAUGCGCUCCCCGUCCGCGGUGCGACGCAUUUUCGCGCAUGUGUCCGCGGCGUUCUGCUGCGGCAACCGUCGACCCAGUAUCGGUCGGCUCCUCCAUCGUCCACCCUCCCGGUCUCCCGCCAGCGCAAGCGCUCGGGCCGGUCGAGGCUUCAGCGAUGGGUGAGGCACGCGGUGGCUCGCCAAUCGGCCACCACCCAAGUUGCGGCAAUCGAGCCCGACGAACCUCUCUACGGAUUGUUUGACCUGUCGACUGGCUCCGUAGAGACUGCAUCCGAGUGCGGUAGCAGUGAUCCAGCGGCGGAAAUCUUGAUGGUCGAUGGGCCCCACAGUCCCCCUGGCUUCGCCCGUGGUGGUGGAGCAGAUGACGGCGGCGACCCUACGCGAGGCUACGAAGAGUACCAACCCGAGCCACUCGACUCUCUGCAAAGAGAGGAAUUUCGCCGCAGGAACGAGGAUCCCCUGCGUAUUCCCAUCGCAGGAGAAACCCCCGAGGCUCGUGCCUUGGAGGAGGCGCGCCUGGCCAAUUUGGCCGAGCGCACUCGACUGGAGAACCUUCAGCGAGCACUCGACGAGCGCGCGCGGCAACGAGUUCCCGACACCAGUCGACGUCAACUCUUCCCGUCGACUCAGGUAUAUCGAACCCCAAUUCAGAAUUUAGCAGCUGCGACCCGUAUAGCAGAGUCCAUCCAGCCUUCGCAGUCGGAAGCUGGCAGAGGUUUGCUGCAGAUCAGGGAUCUGCUCCGGGCAGCAGGAGAUCAGAAUUCAGCCGUGUCUCAGUCGCGCAACAGAAUUCACAGUCGAUCUGUCACUGUGAAUACGGUUCAGUCGGCUCACAGCCCCAGAUCGCCUCCGUGGCGCGAAGGGCGCGAGAAUCGGCGAGAUCAAUAUGGCGACAGACUCGACCGAGAUGAUAGGCGUCGAGUGCCCUAUUCCCCUCCGAGGGGUGGGUCUUACGCUCCUCGGCAGCCAGAUGAUAGGCGUCAGUACAGUACAGGGCGUAGGGUUCCAGUUGACCCCAGAGAGCCAGGCUUCGACGCACGAUCCAUUAUCGUGCAAGGGUUGGUCGACCGGAACAGAGCCCAUCGAGGUGCACUCGACAGAGAUGUACCCACAAGCAGUCGAGUGCAUGUUUCUGGUCCUGAAUGUUUCAGCAGAGCUAUCAGAGCCGCAGUUAUUCCCCCCAAUUUCAGGUUGGCAACAGGAGUCAGCAAGUUCACUGGUGAGUCUAAGCCUGAAACUUGGCUUGAAGACUACCGAGUGGCAGUUCAGAUUGGUGGUGGGAACGACGAGGUGGCCAUGAAGCAUUUACCCCUCAUGUUGGAAGGUUCUGCCAGGGCAUGGUUGACUCAAUUACCUCCUAGCAGCAUUUACACUUGGGAAGAUCUGUCCCGAGUGUUCGUCAGAACGUUUGAAGGGACUUGCAAGCGACCAGCUGGAUUGACAGAGUUGCAAGUCUGCGUGCAGAAAGCUAAUGAGACUCUCAGAGAGUAUAUUCAGAGGUGGAUCACUUUGCACCACACUGUGGAAAAUGUCUCUGAUCAUCAGGCAGUCUGCGCCUUCAAAGACGGCGUCAAGAACAGAGAACUGAGUUUGAAAUUUGGUCGAACCAGUGACAUGACCUUGAGUCAGAUGAUGGAGAUUGCUACCAAGUACGCCAACGGCGAAGAAGAAGACCGACUCCGAAGCGGCAAGCACAAGCCGAGUCAGUCGGAAAAGGGAAACACCAGUCGGAAACAGAAGCGGAAGGCUGAACCGGCAGCUCCUGGAGAGGCUCUGGCCGUGACUCAAGGAAAGUUUAAGGGGAAACCAAAAGGAUCCUGGAACCCCAAGAAGGUAAAGGAUAAAGAAGGGAACGACGUGUUGGAUAUGCCAUGUCACAUUCACACGAAGAAAGACGAAGAGGGGAAUAUCAUUUACCCAAAGCACACCACUCGCCAAUGUCGACUCCUGAUCCAGCAGUUUCAGGGAAAACAGUCUAAAGACAAGGAGAAGGAGUCGGACAAGGCCGAAGACAAGGAGGACAGUGAGGGAGGAUAUCCACAUAUCAACUCCACUCUGAUGAUCUUUGCAGAUGUAGAAAGCAGAAGUCGACUGAAAGUGAUUAACCGAGAGGUGAACAUGGUUGCCCCAGCAAAGGCAAAUUAUCUGAAGUGGUCUCAAACACCCAUCACAUUCGACCAAUCUGAUCACCCGACUCAUAUUGCCACCCCUGGGAGGCAAGCUUUGGUGGUCGAUCCAGUUGUCGAAAGCACUCGACUGACAAAAGUGCUGAUGGAUGGUGGAAGUGGGCUGAAUCUGUUAUAUGCAGACACAUUGAAAGGUAUGGGCAUUCCGAUGUCCCAACUGAGCACUAGUAACAUGAGCUUUCAUGGAGUUAUACCAGGGAAGAAGGCCGAGUCACUCGGCCAGAUAGCUUUGGACGUGGUGUUUGGUGAUUCGAAGCAUUUUCGCAAAGAAAAGUUGACGUUUGAGGUCGUGGAUUUUCAAAGUGCAUAUCAUGCCAUUUUGGGGAGACCAGCCUAUGCACGGUUCAUGGCUCGACCAUGUUACGUGUACCUCAAAUUGAAGAUGCCCGGCCCCAAAGGAGUGAUCACUGUCACCGGUGAUAGGAAAAAGGCAGAGGAGUGCUUUCAGAAGGGCUCCAAGAUUGCCGAUUCCCAAGUGACAGCGGUCGAGUUCGAGGAGUACAAGCAAAACGCAGAUCCGAGUGAUUUGCUGCGAUCGAAGAAACCCGCUACAGAGUCUGCAUUCCAGUCGUCUGGGGAAAUGAAGCCUGUUCAUAUUCACCCGACCGACCCCGAUGCAGCUCCGACCCGCAUCUCCACAACACUCGACCCAAAAUAGGAAGAAGCGCUCAUCCAGUUCCUCCAUGAGAACUGGGACAUUUUUGCAUGGAAGCCCGCUGACAUGCCAGGUGUUCCCAGGGGACUGGCUGAGCAUCGCCUAAGAGUCGACUCGUCUGCAAAACCAGUCAAAGAGCAUCUUCGGCGGUCCGCCGUCCAGAAGAGAAAGGCCAUUGGUGAAGAAGUGGCUCGACUGUUGGCGGCAGGAUUUAUCCGAGAGAUAUACCACUCCGAGUGGCUCGCUAAUGUCGUCAUGGUUCCUAAGAAGGACAAGUCGCUCCGAAUGUGCAUUGAUUUCAAGCACAUCAACCGGGCCUGCCCGAAAGAUCACUUUCCUCUCCCUCGCAUAGAUCAAAUUGUUGACUCGACCGCGGGAUGCGAGAGGUUGUCUUUUUUGGAUGCUUACUCCGGGUACCACCAGAUCCGUCUGUACGGUCCCGAUGAGGUAAAAACAGCUUUCAUCACUCCAUUCGGGUGCUUCUGCUAUAUCACCAUGCCAUUCGGCCUCAAGAAUGCCGGAGCCACAUUUAUGCGAAUGAUUCAGAAGUGUCUACUCACUCAAAUCAGUCGGAAUGUGGAAGCUUAUAUGGAUGAUAUUGUUGUCAAGUCACGAAAAGGUUCCGACCUGCUCGCUGACCUCGCCGAAACAUUUGCCAACCUCAGAAGGUAUGAUAUCAAGCUCAAUCCAUCAAAGUGCACAUUUGGAGUUCCUGGUGGCAAGUUACUCGGUUUUCUCGUUUCCGAACGGGGAAUCGACGCUAACCCAGAGAAGAUUGGCACUAUUCUCCGAAUGAAACGCCCUGUGCGAGUGCACGAUGUCCAGAAGCUUACUGGAUGCUUGGCCGCAUUAAGUCGAUUCAUCUCACGACUCGGUGAAAAGGCAUUGCCUCUUUACCGACUGAUGAAGAAGGCAGACAAGUUCGAGUGGACUCCAGAAGCUGAUGCAGCGUUUGCUGAGCUAAAAGCUCUGCUCUCCACCCAGCCGGUGCUUGCUGCUCCAAUCAGCAAAGAGCCUCUGUUGCUCUACAUCGCAGCCACAGGACAAGUCGUCAGUACUGUGCUAACGGUCGAGCGGGAAGAAGAAGGAAAAGCUCUCAAAGUUCAGCGCCCAGUGUAUUAUUUGUCUGAAGUCUUGACUCCAUCCAAGCAGAGAUAUCCUCAUUAUCAGAAGCUUGUGUAUGGAAUAUACAUGACCACAAAGAAGGUUGCUCAUUAUUUCUCUGACCAUUCCAUCACAGUCGUCAGUGACGCUCCACUAUCAGAGAUUUUGCACAACAGAGAUGCAACUGGUCGAGUGGCCAAAUGGGCGAUUGAACUUCUUCCCCUUGAUAUCAAGUUUGAGGCAAAGAAAGCCAUUAAGUCCCAGGCAAUAGCAGAUUUCCUCGCCGAGUGGAUUGAACAGCAGCAGCCGACUGAAGUUCACUCGGAGCAUUGGACCAUGUUUUUUGAUGGCUCUAAGAUGUUGAAUGGUUCCGGUGCUGGGGUUGUCCUGGUUUCCCCCAGAGGAGAUAAGCUCAGAUAUGUGCUCCAGAUUCAAUUUGAUUCCUCCAACAAUGAGGCAGAAUAUGAGGCCCUCUUAUAUGGGUUGCGCAUGGCCAUUUCACUCGGCGUCCGUCGCCUAAUGGUCUAUGGCGACUCGGAUUUAGUGGUCAAUCAGGUGAUGAAAGAGUGGGACGUGAGAAGCCCAGCCAUGACUGGAUACUGCAGUGCAGUGAGGAAGCUAGAAAAGAAGUUCGAGGGGUUGGAGCUCCAUCACAUACCCCGACUGAAAAAUCAAGCAGCUGAUGAUCUAGCAAAGAUAGGUUCCAAGAGAGAAGCCAUUCCGAAUGGUGUGUUCUUGGAGCAUAUACACGCUCCGUCAGUCAAAGAAGAUCCUUUCACCGAAGAAACUACGCAGCCCAAGAGUGCCACAGAUCCGACUGAAGUUGAAGUCCCAGCGGUGGUCGACUUGAUCAUGGAGGUUUUGGUGGUCAUUCCCGACUGGACGAUUCCGUAUGUCGCAUAUAUCUUGAGGAAAGAGCUUCCGGAGGAUGAGGAAGAGGCUCGACAGAUCGUCCGUCGAUCUAAGGCCUUUACCGUAAUCAAAGGACAAUUAUACAGAGAAAGCGCGACUGGAGUCGGUCAGAAGUGCAUAACACCAGAAGAAGGUCGACUCAUCCUCAAUGAUAUUCACUCGGGGACCUGUGGUCAUCAUGCGUCCUCUCGGACCAUCGUGGCCAAAGCAUACCGAGCCGGAUUUUACUGGCCAAAGGCGAAUGAGAUGGCAAAAGAGAUAGUGGAUAAGUGCGAGGGAUGUCAAUUCUACUCGAAUAUGUCACACAAGCCUGCGUCGGCUCUGAAGACCAUCCCACUCGUCUGGCCUUUCGCAGUAUGGCGAUUGGACAUGGUUGGCCCUUUGAGAACAGGACGAAGUGGCUUCACGCAUGUACUGGUGGCAGUCGACAAGUUCACCAAGUGGAUCGAGGCUAAACCAAUCAAGAGCCUUGACACCGGUACUGUUGUUAGCUUCAUCAGAGAACUAAUAUUCAGAUAUGGAGUCCCGCACAGCAUCAUUACGGAUAAUGGGUCGAACUUUGACUCAGAGGAAUUCAGAACUUUCUGCAACUCCCAGGGCACACGGGUCGACUACGCUUCAGUCGCCCAUCCGCAGUCGAAUGGACAAGCAGAGCGAGCUAAUGGACUGAUUCUUAAGGGAUUGAAGCCUCGAUUGAUGCGUGAUCUCAAACACGCAGCUGGAGCUUGGGUCGACGAACUUCCCUCAGUUCUUUGGGGACUGCGGACCACACCUAAUCGGUCGACCGGAAGAACUCCAUUCUUCUUGGUCUACGGAGCUGAAGCAGUCUUGCCGAGUGAUCUUCUCCACAAUGCUCCUCGAGUUGAAAUCUACAACGAAGCAGAAGCUGAACAAGCGCGGCAGGACGCAGUCGACCUUUUAGAGGAAGAAAGGGAGAUGGCUCUGAUCCGUUCGACCAUCUACCAACAAGAUUUGCGCCGUUUCCACGCCAGAAAUGUGAGAGGUCGAGCCUUCCAGGAAGGGGAUUUGGUUCUCCGAGUGGAUCAGCACAAACCACACAAGCUUGCUCCUUCUUGGGAAGGCCCCUUCAUCGUCACCAAGGUCCUCCACAACGGGGCGUAUCGUCUUUACAACGUCGAGCAUAAUAUCGACGAGCCCCGAGCUUGGAACGCGGAGCUACUCCGCCCAUUUUACACUUAAGUUUUAUCACUCGGAUGAGUUGCAAUAAAGUACUUCUGUAGCUCAUGGACCUCAAAAUAAUAGUGUCAUAGUUCCUCCAUAAUUUCUGUCACUUUUUAUUUUUGUCCACAUAAAACUCCCCCUCAGUGGGUGACUUAGCUGCAGUCCAAGGACUCGCUAAGUUUAUCAAAAUCCUACCGAGUGGUAAGCCAGCCUUCCACUCGGAGGCUUAGCUGCAGUGCAAGCACUCGCCUAAGUUUAUCAAAAUCCUACCGAGUGAAGAGCAACCCUCUCACUUGGGGGCUUAGCUGCAGCCAUGUGCUCGCCUAAGUUAUAAAAAUCCUACCGAGUGAAGAGCAACCCUCUCACUCGGAGGCUUAGCUGCAGUCCAAGCACUCGCCUAAGUUAUAAAAAUCCUACCGAGUGAAGAGCAACCCUCUCACUCGGGGGCUUAGCUGCAGUCCAAGCACUCGCCUAAGUUAUAAAAAUCCUACCGAGUGAAGAGCAACCCUCUCACUCGGAGGCUUAGCUGCAGUCCAAGCACUCGCCUAAGUUAUAAAAAUCCUACCGAGUGAAGAGCAACCCUCUCACUCGGGGGCUUAGCUGCAGUCCAAGCACUCGCCUAAGUUAUAAAAUUCCUACCGAGUGAAGAGCAACCCUCUCACUCGGAGGCUUAGCUGCAGCCCUGUGCUCGCCUAAGGUAUAAAAAUCCUGCCGAGUGGAGAGCAACCCUCUCACUCGGGGGGCUUAGCUGCAGCCCAGUGCUCGCCUAAGUGGACUAAAGAAUAAGUCGAUUGCAGNNNNNNNNNNUAGCUGCAGUCCAAGCACUCGCCUAAGUUAUAAAAAUCCUACCGAGUGAAGAGCAACCCUCUCACUCGGGGGCUUAGCUGCAGCCAUGUGCUCGCCUAAGUUAUAAAAAUCCUACCGAGUGAAGAGCAACCCUCUCACUCGGAGGCUUAGCUGCAGCCCUGUGCUCGCCUAAGGUAUAAAAAUCCUGCCGAGUGGAGAGCAACCCUCUCACUCGUGGGGCUUAGCUGCAGCCCAGUGCUCGCCUAAGUGGACUAAAGAAUAAGUCGAUUGCAGUACAGGCACCUUGCUUUGAACCUGCAAAAGACAUUCCGAGCCGAAGGCAAUCGUAUUCAAGCACCAAAUCCAAGUUUGAAUCGACAUCUAAAGGAACCGAAAGUGCUCAGGCGUCAAGCCUGUUAAGGUUUGUCGGUUACAAUUCCACUCGGCAUACCGAGGCAAAUUUAAAGUGUCGAGCCAGAAGAAGUUUUUUACCCCUCCUGUGGAGGGCUGGAAGGUGCAACAAAUUCAUCAAGGUCAAUUCCGUCGGCGAUCCGAGUGGCAGCUGCAAGGAAAGUUUCCAUAAAGGACCUGAAGUCGUGCUUCUUGGUAUUGGCCACCCGAAGGGCCGCCAGCUUCUCUUCUCGCGCAUCUUUGCAGUGGACUCGGGCCAGACACAGAGCGACAUCUGCACCACACCGAGCCGAGGACUUCUUCCACUCCUGCACUCGACCAGGGAUCGUGUUCAAGCGGGCCAUCAGCGACUCAAGGUCAUUCUGAAGUGUCUCCUCAGGCCAGAGCGUCGAGUCGAUGCGAGAUGUGGCGGCCUUCAGCCUUGCGAGAUAGUCCACGACAGCUGCAACACGAGACUCCAGUCGGAAAACAUCCAUGGCAACUUCGUCGUUCACCGGAGAAUUGACGGGGUCGAGGUUUGGCUCCAGUGGGCUAGUUUCUUCUUCAAAGUUUUGACAAAAUUCUGCAAGGGUGAUCACUAAGUCAAGAGGAUGGUCGAAUGGAAAAAUCACAAUUGGAAAUGUCUGCCAAGCAUAGAGGUUUACCUUCAAGCAUAAGAAACAGCUUCUUGGCAAGGCCACUCAGGAAGGCCUCCAGUUCAGUUUUCUUCUCAGUCAAUUUGCUGACUUGGUCGGUCAGGGCAGCUUUAUCAGUUUUCAGUCGACCGACCUCCUUGUUGGCAAUCCCAAGAGCAGCUUUCAGAUUGGUAUUGUCUUGUUCAAGCUUGGUGACUGAAGCUAACUUCUCGUCAGCAAGCUUGAUCUUCUCAGCUAGCUCAAGGUCUUUCUUCUGCUGGGCCUCCCUUACCUUACCUGCAAGAUUACAGCAAGAUCAGAUUUUGAAGCAAGCAAGGGGAAAAGAAGUCGUCAAGGUCUCACCAAACAUACCUUCGGUCUCCUUCUUUGCCUUUGUCAGCUUCUCCUGAACCAGCUUCAAGCUCAACUCGACUUGAGUAUGCUUGUGUUCCAGCUCUGAGUAGCGAGUCACAAGAUCACAAGAGUUCUGCGAAGAACCAAUCGACUAAAUGUCAAAUAUAAUUCACUUCCGAGUGAAAAAGGGAAAAACACACGUUUCUAAGACUACAGCCGAAUACAAGCAUUCGACCGUAUCUCGGGGACUACACCCAGUGGGUGCACUCAGCGUGCCCCCACUAAUCCUGUUGAAGACAAAGUCGACCAGUCGACCUCAUAAAAAAAAAGUGCGAGAUGCAUUCUCUAAGACUGUGAUCAACUGCAAGCAGUCGACCACAGUCUCGGGGACUACACCCAGUGGGUGCACUCAGCGUGCCCCCACCGGUUCGUGAAAUCCAGUCGACCAGUCGACUGACAGAAAGAUUGACAUCAUAAAGCCUAAGGCCGACUGCCAGCAGUCGACCUUAGCCUUGGGGACUACACCCAGCGGGUGCACUCAGCGUGCCCCCGCUAACUCGGAGUUUAUUCGACACACCUAGUGGGUGACUACUAUAAAUUCCAGAAAGGAAAAGUUUUUGGUAGCAUAUCCAACAGAACAAACAGUGGUCGACUGACCUGGACAUUGCUUUGGAGGGCAGAGCUGGCGUCAUAAGCUGCCUGGCUCGCGUCCCGGAUGGUCUUCAGCUGCACCAUCAUGAGUCCCGCCUGGCGUAUUGCCUCCUUCGCUGCGCCAGCUUGGUCCUCUGGGAUGUGGUGCGUCGUGAAGAGGGAGGGCUGCUGAGCGCUCGUCAGUGGAUUUGCGAAGGACACCGUGUGUCGAGUGGUGUUCUCUUCCUCCACAGUCAGAAUCUCAGGCGCCGUCACAUCCUGAGGCACCUUACUGGCGGACGCUUUCCGACUCCUCCUGCGCUUCAGCGGCUCUUCAUCCUCGUCAUCAUCAGGAAGAUUGAUAACAGUAUUGGGCGGGGCUGCGGAGAAGAAUCAGGAUCAGAGAUCGCGAGUCAGUCGACUAAGAACGGCGUUAAGAAUACAGUACCUGGGUUCGAAGUUGCUGCGUCCUCCAUCUCAUGGUCAUCAGCCCGGGCCGAGGUUUCAGAAGUAGCAGCACUGCAACUCCAAAGGAUCGGUCGACUAACUUCAGCGUCGACCAGAGACAAAGUUCGCACAGAAUAAGAAAAUAUGAGCAGCACAGUUACCCUGAUAUGGUGGGGAUGGACACCUUCAUCUUCGGCAAGAGCUUGAUCGGCUUCGACGAGGCCGCUCUGGGCUGCUUCACCGCUUUCAGUCGGCACCGGAGAGGUGGUCCGAGGGCGCUUGGUCGACUGAGUGGUGGUCGCGACCCCCUUACCACGUUCGGUCGAAGGGUCGUGGACAAGCUUCGACCGCCUUUCCGAGCGCGGUGGUACGACCUCCUCCUCCUCUUCUUCCUCGUCCUCGACGUCGUCUUCAUCACCGUCAUCAUCAUCAUCGUCAUCAUCAUCCUCUGCAACAUCCGAGUCCCAUUCCUCCUCUUCCUGGCUCUCGCCCCCGCUCGCCUCGCCCUCCUCGGUCGAAGCUUGUGCCCCAUUGGGCAUCGAGUACAGCUCGGUGAGGGCCUAGCAGAUAUCAAGACAAGGAUCAGUCGACCAGUCGGCAGAGUAAACAUAAAUGAAUGCGACAAGAAUGCAGUGGAGAGCAGGGCGAGUGUACCUUUUUUGGAUCGCUGUUGUGGUCGAGUGGAGGAAUCCUUCUGGCUCCGCGUGGGUUGUCCUUGUUUCCGGUGACGGCUGCCAUCCAUCUUUCCAGAGUGACAUCGUCGACUGCCUCUGGAUGGACUCUAGUCUCGUCUUCGGUCCCAUAGUACAACCACAUGUAGUGGCUCCGGAACUGCAGGGGCUGGAUGCGACGCCUGAGGAAGACCUCCAGGAGGUCCAUGCCCGUCACUCCCUCCCGAACCAACUGCACCACGCGCUCCAUCAACAUCUUCACGUCAGCUUUCUCCUCCGGAAUCAGCUUCAGAGGAGAGGGCUUGUUCACUCGGUCCAUGCUAAAUGGAGGGAGUCCACUCGACUGCCCUGGCGUCGACUGGACCUGGCAGUAGAACCAAGUCAACUGCCAGCCUCUGACGGACUCAGGAAAGGUCAUGGGCGGGAAGGUGCUCUUAUUCCUCACCUGAAUCCCCAGACCCCCACACAUUUGGACGACUCGGGUUCUCUCAUCACCUGGGCUCGCCUUCUUCACGGUCUGGGAUCGACACGUGAAUAUAUGUUUGAACAAACCCCAGUGCGGUUGACAGCCCAAGAAACCCUCACACAUGGACACGAACGCAGCAAGAUAGGCAAUGGAGUUUGGGGUAAAGUGGUGGAGCUGCGCUCCGAAGAAAUUCAAGAAGCCACGAAAGAAAACACUCGGCGGCAAGGAAAACCCACGAUCAACAUGGGUGGCCAAAAGCACACACUCACCCUCUUCUGGCUGAGGCUGCCACUCCUUCCCCGGAAGCCUCGCAGCUCCGUGGGGGAUCAAGCCCUCGUUGGCCAUGUCGAGGAGGUCAUUCUCCGUGAUGGUCGACUGGAUCCAGUCUCCUUGGACCCAGCCUUUCGGCAGGCGGGAUCUGGACGAGGACCCUCCGCGGCUGGUGGAUCUCCCCUUCGCCUUCUCCGACGCCGACCCUUCUUUGCACGCUCCAGCGCCGCCGUCUUCUCCUUGGCCAUGGUCGCCGGCGAGAUGCGCGAAGGGAAGUGGUGCGGGGGCGAGAGCGAGCACGCUGGGCGGGGAAGAAGGAAGCAGAGAGAGGGGGAGAAUGCUGAAGCGCAGCACAGAAAUCCUCGCCGGGCACAUUUAUAAGGUCCCUUCCGAGUGGAUGACAGGUGGGCCCGUCGAUCUAAUCAUAUCUGGGAGCAGUUAUGCAGACGGGAUACGUGGCGAAAAAGGCGGCACGGAGAUCGAGGCAUCCAUGCCCCGUCCCAUCCGAACGCCGCGGUCCGCCCCGCUUCGCGCGCGUCCCCAAAUUUCGCAUCCCGCGGAAUCCGCGAACAGCUAAUCAGUCUGUCAGACGCGGUGUUUCCGGCGAUCCGUCGCUCAGAGAUCAUCGAAGCUUGAAAUAUCACUCGACGCAAAAACAGAAUGGAUCGAGUCGACUGAAGGCAAGUUGCUUCCUGUCGACGAAGAGAUUCUUUGGUCCAGGACGACGCACGACCAGAACACAAAGGUUAAUCGGAAACAACAUCAACUCCUUCCUCACUCGAAGCCUCAAUCCAUUCGGGGGCUAAUGAUGGGGUUAUGUACCUAGGGUAGGGUCAUGGACCUGAUCUAAGUACCUUACCCAAGGACAUCCUUAGAAGAGGUCGCCUUCCAGUCGACCAACGAGGACUCACUCGACUGGCCUGAAGGACUCGACUACGAAGACUCAUUCGACCACCAGGAGGUCAAGAGGCACUCUGCACUGCAACGGCCUGUAAUCAAGUAGACUUUAUGAUAGUAAAGGCACUUUAUGUGGGGCGUUACCAGUAACGCCCCAGACUUAACUCACCUUAAACCCUCUCCUACGUGGGCUGGCUGGGGUCCUAGCGAACUCUAUAUAAGCCACCCCCCUCCACAGGCAGAGGGGUUCGGCACCUUGUAGUUCAUAUACUCAUAAUCCACUCGACCGCCUCCGGGCUCCGAGACGUAGGGCUAUUACUUCUUCCGAGAAGGGCCUGAACUCGUACAUCCUUUGUGUUUACAACCUCUCCAUAGCUAGGACCUUGCCUCUCCAUACCUACCCCCACUCUACUGUCAGGCUUAGAACCACGACAGUCAGCAGAGGUUGAAAUCAAGAAAGAACAUCAAGUGUUGAUGGUCAAUAAGACCACUAAGUUCAAGAAGGGCAAGGGUAAGAAGAACUUCAAGAAGGACGGCAAAGAGGUUGCCGCGCCCGGUAAGCCAGUUGCCGAGAAGAAAUCAAAGAAUGGACCCAAGCCUGAGACUGAGUGCUUUUAUUGCAAGGGGAAGGGUCACUGGAAGCGGAACUGCCCCAAAUACUUAGCGGAUAAGAAGGCCGGCAACACAAAAGGUAUAUUCGAUAUACAUGUAAUUGAUGUGUACCUUACCAGUACUCAUAGUAACUCCUGGGUAUUUGAUACCGGUGCCGUUGCUCAUAUUUGUAACUCACAGCAGGAGCUGCGGAAUAAGCGGAGACUGGCAAAGGACGAGGUGACGAUGCGCGUCGGGAAUGGUUCCAGAGUCGAUGUGAUCGCCGUCGGCACGCUGCCUCUACAUUUACCUACGGGAUUAGUUUUGAACCUUAAUAAUUGUUAUUUGGUGCCAAGUUUGAGCAUGAACAUUGUAUCUGGAUCUCGUUUAAUACGAGAUGGCUACUCAUUUAAGUCUGAGAAUAAUGGUUGUUCGAUUUAUAUGAGAGAUAUGUUUUAUGGUCAUGCUCCGAUGGUCAAUGGUUUAUUCUUAAUGAAUCUCGAACGUAGUGUUACACAUAUUCAUAGCGUGAAUACCAAAAGAUGUAAAGUUGAUAACGAUAGUCCCACAUACUUGUGGCACUGCCGCCUUGCUCACAUUAGUGUCAAGCGCAUGAAGAAGCUCCAUGCUGAUGGACUUUUAGAGUCUCUUGAUUAUGAAUCAUUUGACACAUGCGAACCAUGCCUCAUGGGCAAGAUGACCAAGACUCCGUUCUCCGGAACAAUGGAGCGAGCAACCAACUUGUUGGAAAUCAUACAUACCGAUGUGUGCGGUCCAAUGAGCAUUGAGGCUCGCGGAGGAUAUUGUUAUGUUCUCACUCUCACUGAUGACUUAAGUAGAUAUGGGUAUGUCUACUUAAUGAAACACAAGUCUGAGACCUUUGAAAAGUUCAAGGAAUUUCAGAAUGAGGUAGAGAAUCAACGUGACUGAAAGAUAAAAUUCCUACGAUCAGAUCGUGGAGGAGAAUACUUAAGUCACGAAUUUGGUACACACUUAAGGAAAUGUGGAAUCGUUUCACAACUCACGCCGCCUGGAACACCUCAACAUAACGGUGUGUCCGAACGUCGUAAUCGCACUCUAUUGGAUAUGGUGCGGUCUAUGAUGUCUCUUACCGAUUUACCGCUAUCAUUUUGGGGAUACGCUCUAGAGACAGCUACAUUCACUUUAAAUAGGGCACCAUCUAAAUCCGUUGAGACGACACCGUAUGAAUUAUGGUUUGGGAAGAAACCUAAGCUGUCGUUUCUGAAUGUUUGGGGAUGCGAUGCUUAUGUCAAGAAACUUCAACCUGAGAAGCUUGAACCCAAGUCGGAAAAAUGCGUCUUCAUAGGAUACCCUAAGGAAACCAUUGGGUAUACCUUAUACUUAAGAUCCGAGGGCAAGAUCUUUGUCGCUAAGAACGGAUCCUUUCUGGAAAAAGAGUUUCUCUCGAAAGAAGUAAGUGGGAGGAAAGUAGAACUCGAUGAAGUAGUACCUCUUGAGCGGAACAGUAGUGCAGCUCAGGAAGAUGUUCCUGUGAUGCCUACACCAACUGAAGAGGAAAAUAAUGAUGAUGAUCAAGGUACUCCGGAUCAAGUUGCUACUGAACUUCGUAGGUCCACAAGGAUACGUUCCGCACCAGAGUGGUACGGCAACCCUGUCCUAGAAAUCAUGUUGUUAGACAACGGUGAACCUUCGAACUAUGAAGAAGCGAUGGCGGGCCCAGAUUCCAACAAAUGGCUAGAAGCCAUGAAAUCCGAGAUAGAAUCCAUGUAUGAAAACAAAGUAUGGACUUUGACUGACUUGCCCAAUGAUCGGCGAGCGAUAGAAAACAAAUGGAUCUUUAAGAAGAAGACGGACGUGGAUGGAAAUGUCACCAUCUAUAAAGCUCGACUUGUCGCUAAGGGUUAUCGACAAGUUCAAGGGAUUGACUACGAUGAGACUUUCUCUCCCGUAGCGAAGCUUAAGUCCGUCCAAAUCAUGUUAGCAGUUGCCGCAUACUAUGAUUAUGAGAUAUGGCAGAUGGACGUCAAAACGACAUUCCUUAACGGGCAUCUUAAGGAAGCGCUGUAUAUGAUACAACCGGAAGGUUUUGUCGAUCCUAAGAACGCUAACAAAGUAUGCAAGCUCCAGCGAUCCAUUUAUGGGCUGGUGCAAUCAUCUCGGAGUUGGAAUAUUCGCUUUGAUGAGAUGAUCAAAGCGUUUGGGUUUAUGCAGACUUAUGGAGAAGCCUGCGUUUACAAGAAAGUGAGUGGGAGCUCUGUAGCAUUUCUCAUAUUAUAUGUAGAUGACAUACUCUUGAUGGGAAAUAAUAUAGAAUUUCUGGACAUCAUUAAGGCCUACUUGAAUAAGUGUUUUUCAAUGAAGGACCUUGGAGAAGCUGCUUAUAUAUUAGGCAUCAAGAUCUAUAGAGAUAGAUCAAGACGCCUCAUAGGUCUUUCACAAAGCACAUACCUUGAUAAGAUUUUGAAAAGGUUCAAAAUGGAUCAGUCCAAGAAAGGGUUCUUGCCUAUGUUACAAGGUGUGAGAUUGAGCUCGGCUCAGUCACCGACCACGGCAAAAGAUAAAGAAGAGAUGAGUCUCAUCCCCUAUGCUUCAGCCAUAGGAUCUAUUAUGUAUGCCAUGCUGUGUACCAGACGUGAUGUAAACCUUGCCGUGAGUUCGGUAGCAAGAUACCAAGGUAAUCCCGGCAAGGAACACUGGACAGCGGUCAAGAAUAUCCUGAAGUACCUGAAAAGGACAAAGGACAUGUUUCUCGUUUAUGGAGGAGACGAAGAGCUCGUCGUAAAGGGUUACGUCGACGCUAGCUUCGACUCAGAUCCGGAUGACUCUAAGUCACAAACCGGAUACGUGUAUAUGUUGAAUGGUGGAGCAGUAAGCUGGUGCAGCUGCAAGAAGAGCGUCGUGGCGGGAUCUACAUGUGAAGCGGAGUACAUGGCAGCCUCGGAGGCAGCGCAUGAAGCUAUUUGGGUGAAGGAGUUCAUCACCGACCUAGGAGUCAUACCCAAUGCGUCGGGGCCGAUCAAACUUUUCUGUGACAAUACUGGAGCUAUUGCCCUUGCGAAGGAGCCCAGAUUUCACAAGAAGACCAGGCACAUCAAGCGUCGUUUCAACUCCAUCCGUGAAAAUGUUCAAGAUGGAGACAUAGAAAUUUGCAAAGUACAUACGGAUCUGAAUGUCGUAGAUCCGUUGACUAAACCUCUCUCGCGAGCGAAACAUGAUCAACACCAGAACUCUAUGGGUGUUCGAUUCAUCACAAUGUAACUAGAUUAUUGACUCUAGUGCAAGUGGGAGACCGUUGGAAAUAUGCCCUAGAGGCAAUAAUAAAAGUAUUAUUAUUAUAUUUCUUUGUUCAUGAUAAUAGUCUUUUAUUCAUGCUAUAACUGUAUUAUCCGGAAAUCGUAAUACACGUGUGAAUACAUAGACCAGAAUAUGUCCCUAGUGAGCCUCUAGUUGACUAGCUCGUUGUGAUCAACAGAUAGUCAUGGUUUCCUAGCUAUGGACAUUGGAUGUCGUUGAUAACGGGAUCACAUCAUUAGGAGAAUGAUGUGAUGGACAAGACCCAAUCUUAAGCAUAACACAAAGGUCGGUUAGUUCGUGUGCUAGAGCUUUUCCAAUGUCAAGUAUCUCUUCCUUCGACCAUGAGAUCGUGUAACUCCCGGAUACCGUAGGAGUGCUUUGGGUGUACCAAACGUCACAACAUAACUGGGUGAUUAUAAAGGUGCACUACAGGUAUCUCCGAAAGUGUCUGUUGGGUUGACACGGAUCGAGACUGGGAUUUGUCACUCCGUAUGACGGAGAGGUAUCUCUGGGCCCACUCGGUAAUGCAUCAUCAUAAUGAGCUCAAGGUGACCAAGUGUUUGGUCACGGGAUCAUCCAUUACGGUACUAGUAAAGUGACUUGCCGGUAACGAGACUGAACAAGGUAUUGGGAUACCGACGAUCGGGUCUCGGGCAAGUAACGUACCGAUUGACAAAGGGAAUUGUAUACGGGAUUUGAUCGAAUCCUCGACAUCGUGGUUCAUCCAAUGACAUCAUCGAGGAGCAUGUGGGAGCCAACAUGGGUAUCCAGAUCCCGCUGUUGGUUAUUGACCGGAGAGUCUCGGUCAUGUCUGCAUGUCUCCCGAACCCGUAGGGUCUACACACUUAAGGUUCGAUGACGCUAGGGUUAGCAGGAAGACAAGUAUGUGAUUACUGAAUGUUGUUCGGAGUCCCGAAUGAGAUCCCGGACGUCAUGAGGAGUCCCGGAAUGGUUCGGAGGUAAAGUUUUAUAUAUGGGAAGUUGUUAAACGGGCACCGGAAAGUUUCGGGGUCAUACCGGUAUUGUACCGGGACCACCGGAAAGGUUCCGGGGGUCCACCGGGAGGGACCACCCCUCCCGGGGGGCCACUUGGGCUGCGUAGGGAUAGCAGCCAGCCCCUAGUGGGCUGGGCGCGCCCCCCCCUUGGGCCCAUGCGCCUAGGGUUGGGUGGGAAACCCUAAAGGGGGCGCACCCCCCUUGCUUGGGGGCAAGCCCCCCACCCUUUGGCCGCCGCCCCCCUCUAGGGUUUCCCCUAGAGGGCCGGCCCCCUUGCCCCUCUCCUCCUAUAUAUAGAGGGGUGAGGGGAGGGCUGCUGUACACCACAACUCAAGGCGCAGGCCUUCCCCUCCCCAACACCUCUCCUCCUCCGUACGUGCUCGACGAAGCUCUGUCGGAAUACUGCUGCACCAACUGCACCACGCUGUCGUGCUGCCCUUGGAGCUGCCUUCCUCAACCUCUCCUUCCUCCUUGCUGGAUCAAGACGGAGGAGACGUCAUCCGUCCCGUACGUGUGUUGAACGCGGAGGUGCUGUCCGUUCAGCACUUGGUCAUCGGUGAUCCGAAUCACGACGAGUACGACUCCAUCAUCACCAUCCCCUUGAAUGCUUCCGCACUCGAUCUACAAGUGGUAUGUAGACGCAAACUCUUCCCCUUGACUCGUUGCUUAGAUGAACUCAUAGAUGGAUCUUGGUGAAACCGUAGGAAAUUUUUUAAUUUUCUGCAAUGUUCCCCAACAGUAUCGAGUUGUAAUUCUUGAGUUGUAAGUAAAUAAAAGUGUGAUGAUCUUCAUUAUUAGAGCAUUAUCCCAUGUGAGGAAAGGAUGAUGGAGACUAUGAUUCCCCCACAAGUUGGGAUGAGACUCUGGACGAAAAAAAGAGGCCAAAAAAAUGAGAGAAGGCAGAAAUAAAAAAAAAUAGAAAAAGAGAGAAGGGACAAUAUUACUAUCCUUUUUACCACACUUGUGCUUCAAAGUAGCACCAUGAUCUUCAUGAUAGAGAGUCUCCUAUGAUAUCACUUUCAUAUACUAGUGGGAAAUUUUCAUUAUGGAACUUGGCUUUUAUAUUCCAAUGAUGGGUUUCCUCAAAUUGCCAUAGGUCUUCAUGAACAAGCGAGUUGGAUGCACACCCACUUAGUUUGUUUUCGAGCUUUCAUAAACUUAUAGCUCUAGUGCAUCCGUUGCAUGGCAAUCCCUACUCACUCACAUUGAUAACUAUUAAUGGGCAUCUCCAUAGCCCGUUGAUAUGCCUAGUUGAUGUGAGACUAUCUCCUUCUUUUUGUCUUCUCCAAAACCACCGUCUAUUCCACCUAUAGUGUUAUAUCCGUGGCUCACGCUCAUGUAUUGCGUGAAAGUUUGAAAAAGUUUGGGAACAUCAAAAGUAUGAGACAAUUGCUUGGCUUGUCAUCGGGGCUGUGCAUGAUUUAAAUAUUUUGUGUGAUGAAGAUGGAGCAUAGCCAGACUAUAUGAUUUUGUAGGGAUAAGCUUUCUUUGGCCAUGCUAUUUUGAGAAGACAUAAUUAUUUUGUUAGUAUGCUUGAAGUAUUAUUAUUUUUAUGUCAAUAUUAAACUUUUGUUUUGAAUCUUACGGAUCUGAACAUUUCUGCCACAAUAAAGAGAAUUAUAUGAAUAAAUAUGUUAGGUAGCAUUCCAUACCAAAAAUUCUGUUUUUAUCAUUUAUCUACUCGAGGAUGAGCAGGAAUUAAGCUUGGGGAUGCUUGAUACGUCUCCAACGUAUCUAUAAUUUUUUAUUGUUCCAUGCUAUUAUAUUAUCUGUUUUGGAUGUUUUAUGUGCAUUAAUAUGCUAUUUUAUAUGAUUUUGGGGACUAACCUAUUAAUCUAGAGCCCAGUGCCAGUUUCUGUUUUUCCUUGUUUUAGAGUUUCACAGAAAAGGAAUACCAAACGGAGUCCAAAUGGAUAAAACUUUCACGAUGAUUUUUCUUGGACCAGAAGACACCCAUGAGACUUGGAGUGCAAGUCAAAGGAGCCUCGAGGCCACCACAAGGGUGGAGGGCGCGCCCAGGGGGUGGGGCGCGAACCCCGACCUUGUGGGCCCCUCAUAGUGGAAAUAUGCCCUAGAGGCAAUAAUAAAGUUGUUAUUUAUAUUUCCUUAUAUCAGGAUAAAUGUUUAUUAUUCAUGCUAUAAUUGUACUAACUGGAAACUUAGUACAUGUGUGAAUACAUAGACAAACAGAGUGUCACUAGUUUGCCUCUACUUGACUAGCUCGUUAAUCAAAGAUGGUUAAGUUUCCUAGCUAUGGACCAAAAGUUGUCAUUUGAUAAACGGGAUCACAUCAUUAGAGAAUGAUGUCAUUGACUUGACCCAUCCGUUAGCUUAGCACGAUGAUUAUUUAGUUUACUACUAUUGCUUUCUCCAUAACUUAUACAUGUUCCUAUGACUAUGAGAUUAUGCAACUCCCGAACACCGGAGGAACACUUAGUGUGCUAUCAAACAUCACAACGUAACUGGGUGACUAUAAAGAUGCUCUAAAGGUGUCUCCGAUGGUGUUUGUUGAGUUGGCACAGAUCGAGAUUAGGAUUUGUCACUCCGUGUAUCGGAGAGGUAUCUCUGGGCCUUCUCGGUAAUGCACAUCACUAUAAGCCUUGCAAGCAAUGUGACAGUCGGUGUCAAAAUCGGCGGAUCUCGGGUAUGGGGUCCCGAAUUGUGCGUCUAGGCCGGAUGGUAACAGGAGGCAAGGGACACGAAGUUUUACCCAGGUUUGGGCCCUCUUGAUGGAGGUAAAACCCUACGUCCUGCUUGAUUAAUAUUGAUGAUAUGGGUGUUACAAGAGUAGAUCUACCACGAGAUCAGAGAGGCUAAACCCUAGAAGCUAGCCUAUGGUAUGAUUGUAUGUUAUGAUUGUUGUCCUACGGACUAAAACCCUUCGGUUUAUAUAGACACCGGAGAGGGUUAGGGUUACACAAGGUCGGUUACAAAGGAGGAGAUAUCCAUAUACGUAUUGCCUAGCUUGCCUUCCACGCCAAGUAGAGUCCCAUCCGGACACGAGACGAAGUCUUCAAUCUUGUAUCUUCAUAGUCUAACAGUCCGGCCAAUGGAGAUAGUCCGGCUGUCCGGAGACCCCCUAAUCCAGGACUCCCUCAGUAGCCACUGAACCAGGCUUCAAUGACGAUGAAUCCGGCGCGUAGUUGUCUUCGGCAUUGCAAGGCGGGUUCCUUCUCCGAAUACAUCAUAGAAUAAUUUGAAUACGAGGAUAGUGUCCGACCCUGCAAAAUAAGUUCCACAUUCCACCGUAGAGAGAAUAAUGUUUUCGCAGAUCUAAUUUGCUAGCUUGUUUCGGCAGCAUGGCGUUAUGUCAUGGCCCGGUGAUUAUUGGAACCGUUUCUUUUAACCAGCCCCGCACAUAAUGCGAGGCAGUUUUUCGACACGUCUUGUCAAAGCAGAGAUCGUGUCCCCUUAUUACGGGAUUCUCAUCAAUACGGGCGUGGGUAACCCAACCGCGCCAUCAAUUGCGGCGCUUGCAGGAUAAGCGAGUUUUAUCAGGCAAGUGGGGACGCUUAAUUUUGUCCGCCCAUAUAAAGGGAUAAGGAUUCACCUUUCUAUCCACGCCUUCUUCCUCCUCUGCUCAUCUGCUCCUGCACACUCGAGCUCUAGUGCCCAAGCUCUCACUUCCAUCUCAACCUUCUCCAACCAUGUCCGGAGCGGGAGGCAAGUGGAUGGUCUCCUCCGUCACAGAGGGAGACGUCAAGAAACUGAGGAGAGCCGGAUACCUGCCCGACAACAUCGUGUACCGGCUCCCAGAUGAGGGACAACUCAUCCCCACCCCGAGCCCCAUGAGAGGGUGGUAUUCCUCACCCAUUUCCUCUGCGGACUGGGAUUCCCUCUCCAUCCCUUCGCCCGGGGCCUCAUGUUUUAUUACGGCCUGGAUUUCCAUGAUCUGGCGCCAAACUUCAUCCUCAACAUCUCAGCGUUUAUCGUCUUGUGCGAGGCCUUCCUCCGCAUCAAGCUCCACUUCGGCUUAUGGCUGAAGACCUUCAAUGUCAAGCCGAAGGUAGUGAGCGGCCUCCAGGCGGAGUGCGGAGGCGCCAUGGUGGGCAAGAUGCCCAACAUCACAUGGCUCGAGGGCACCUUCGUGGAUACCAUAAAGGGGUGGCAAUCGAGGUGGUUCUAUAUCACCGAGUCGCGCAACCCCGCAUGGGUAGCGGCCCCCGAGUUCCGAUCUGGCAUCCCCAUGCGGCUCACCUCCUGGAAAGAGAAGGGCCUGUCCUGGGGUAAUUCAAAAGAGCUGACUGGACUCCAGACAUGUAUUCAAAACAUGGUGGACAAGAAGCUCAAGCUCGUCAACAUAGUCCAGGUUAUGCUCGUCCGUUGGAUACUCCCGUGCCAACAACGGGAGUUCACCUUGUGGGAGUUCAACCCGGCACAACACCAAACUCUGAACAGGCUCUUCGACACGACUCAUGAAGAUGCCUCGAGGGUGCUGUUCAAGGGUGCCGCGGUCCCUCCCCCCAUUACUGAGGAUCGCGGAUUCAGCGUGAAGCGCCAAGCCAGUGCGGUAAGUUGUUUUACCUUUUACUGGAUACUUGUUUUCUAUAUAGAUUGACUCUAUGCGGGAUCUGAACUCCCGUGCCGUUAACAGGACUGGCAGAAGAUGGCCGGACAAAUCGACUGUCCGACACCCUUGCCCGAAGGCCCUGCAGAUGCCCUUCUGGCGAAGAUGUUGACUCCGGCCCCUUAUAAGGUGCCGGAGAAGACCAAGAAGGCCAAGGGAGCUCGAAAGAGUUCCCAACGCCAGGCAUCGUCGGACUCACCGUCCGAUGACUCUGCGGCACACUCUUCCCCCGAAGACGAGGAAGAGAAAGAAGAGGCUCCCCCACCGACUGGGGGAGUCAAGAAAAGGAAGGCCGCCCCAACUAGGGAGGCCGGAGGGCCCAAGAAGGGAAGGACGCUCCUUCCGGACAGCUCCACCGCCGCCGAUGAAAGUGAAGACGAGUGGUUGCCCAGGGCCAAGCCCCAGGGGAGAUCGUAAGUAUUCGGAUACCAAAGUAACCCAUAGGAUUCCUUUGUCGCAUUGCUUUCCCUAACACCAAACUCAAUUUUGCAGGCCGCCCCGAGCCAAUAUCGAGGUAUCCUCGGACGGCUCCCUGGGUUCGUCGGACAUGGAUAGCAAUCCAGUCCUGACCGCCACCUCCCCUCAUCCAGCCGACGACGCCGAGGUGCUGUCUCAAGAGGCACCGGAUCGAGGGGGGAUAGUCCCAGAGGUGCCUCAAGGCGACCUUCCGGACUCUGGGAGCCGAGGGGACAGGGUCUCCGAGAGCUCCGAGUUUGGCCCUCAGCCGAACACCGCGCUGGACCCUCCAACGGUUCCGAGCUCGGGCAUGCGGUCCUCUUCUAAGGGGGGUGAGACGCCUGUGCCGGUGACCUCUGUCCAUCUAGAGGCGCCGGACACUAUGUUGGAAGCGCUUCGUAGCGCUUCCAUCGAGGAGGAGCACCGCACUAUCAUGAGUGCAAUGAUCCAGAAGGUUCUGUCCGCCAAGAGCGGAUUGACUGAAGCCUGUACUAGCCUUCUAGAAGGCUUCAAGGUAAGUGUUUUAAAAUGUAGUACAAGUAUUACCGCAUAGACAGUAGCCCCUGAUGCUUUGUUCGGUGUUCGCAAAGAAAAGCCGAACAGAGGAUCAAAUAAUAUCGCAAGAGUCUAAUAUAAGCAUGUCAAUAUGCAUAUGCAGGCUUCUCUGCUGGCGUCCGCCGCACUAACUGCGGAGGUCGCCGUACUGAAGCAGGACCUCGAUGGGUCCAAGAAAGAGCUCGGCCUUGUCAAGAGGCAGCUCGAGGAGAACGAAGGUAAGUAAUACCCCGUCUAUAGAUAUAUGUAUAUAAAAAAGGACGCGAUUGAAAAAUGACAGGAUCAUUGUAUGUUUUGCCAGGGGCCACGACCGAGGUGGCAACCCUGAAGCAAGCGCUGAACAAGGCCGAAGAUACAGCGGCCAAGGAGCGCACCGAGCGAGAGAGGCACGAGGCUCGGGUGGGCGAGGUGCAGCAAGAGCUCCAGGCUCUCGUGACGAAGCACGAGGCGUUGGAGCUUGACUUGAAGACGUGAGAGUUUGAGCUUGCCGCGGCCCGUGAGAGCGCGAAGAGUGCCAAGGCCGAGGCCCAAAAGGCCCUUCAGGAGAUCGACACGAUGAAGAAGGUAGCGGCAGGCAAGGCUUUCUAUAUGCAAAGCAAGCAUGUAAAGGUGAAUUACUGAUUACUUACCCGAAUCCGGAGCUCUUCAGGAGCAUUCACAGAUUUGCCCCGUAGUGUGUCCGAUGCCGCACUAUUCUACCAGGCCAAGGACGGAAGCUCGACGGAGAAGCUGUUCUGGUCUCAGUAUGCUGAGGCCGAACAUCCGGUGCCAAUGAGCAACCAGCUGAAGCAGAUGGCCGAGCUACAUAAGGCGUCCGAUCAGGCCAUGAAGGGCUUCAUAGUCCGGUUGUGGCCUGGCGAUGCCCCUUCGAACAGCUUCUUCGGCCUGGUGAGGCGGCUUGUGGAUGCCUGCCCUCGGUUGGAGGUCGUCAAGCGAUCCGCCUGCAUAGAAGGUGCACGCCAGGCUUUCGCCCGUGUAAAAAUGCAGUGGGUCAAGCUAGACGCCGUGAAGCUGAUCAAGGAGGGGCCACCAGAGGGCAAGGAGCACCGCCACCCCGAGAUGUACUACGAGGGUGUUCUGUCGGGUGCCCGUCUUAUCGCGGAUGAGUGUUCACAAAAUGUAAUAUGUGAAUGAGACUUGCUCGUUUUGGCCUGUAUGUGUGAAAACUUGUUUCAUAUGCGCCAUGCAACGCUUGUUUGAAUUUAAAAUAUUACCUUCUGUUUGGCUAUUUAUCCAAUCUGAGAGAUGGCUAGUCCUCGGCUUCUGCCCCCAUGCCGCUAGUGCUGGGGUGUUCGGGAUAAACCUGAGCACUCUUGUUCCCAUAUUUGGGUCCUUCGAGGGAGGUGCUCAGCACAACGAACAAGGCAACCGGACUAAUAAUGCUUUAUCACUCUCACUUAGCCAUAGAAUUCUAUAAUUUUAAAUUUCGGUGAAGCCCCUGGUGUUGGAAGGCCGAAUUCGGGGCACAAUACACGCCUGUAAGCCGGGCAGAGCCGGCCCCUCGCCCUAAGCGGCAUAAGUCUUUAAGGACUCGAAAAACCUCGCCGAAUAGCGACCAGUCUCGCGCCUUGUCAUGACAGUCAGUUUUAGCUUUCUCUACUGAGGUGCUCAGCCCGGUAGAACCGGGGCACAAUCGCAGUAGUUAUCCUAGCGCUACCUUAACCGAUAGAGCGGAACGUAAGGUACCAAAACAUAGGAGCCGGGCAAACCCAACAUUUGACCAAAGACAUGAUUCAGAGCUAAUGCAUAUAGUGCUAUAAGUUCGGGGUGCCGCACUUGUGAAAGUGUUCGGACUUUUAGCACCAUAUUGCAGGUAUGUAAGCCCCUGGUGCAUUGGCCGUACCAGAGUGUACGGUUGCAAGGCGUCGUUAAUGAACGCAUAUAUAUAUACAUACAUAUAUAUAUAACAAACAUGCAAUAAUAGUCGUAAUGUCAUGCAUUGUUUAUUAAAAAAUUGCAUUAAAGCAGAGUGAUAUGGAUAGUGCAAUAAGCAAAAGAGUAGGACUAUGUCCCUUCCAAGGGCAAGCUGAGGAAUGAUAUGAAAUCUGUAAUCAACCUGGGAAUUCCGUUGUAUAACGUAGUUCUCUGCCUCCUUGGUUGUUGUAUCAUGUGUUCGACAAUGGAGCUGCCGGACAGUGUUUCCAGAGAUUAAAGUCCUGAAAGAAAAAGAAAAAUAACCAAACGGGAAGCCCCUAGUGCGGUUUAGGCCGCGUUUUGGGGCGUGCCGCAGUUGUGCCCCCCCUCCCCUCCUGUGCCCAUGGUAUUUUUAAUGCGUAAUUAUGUACGCGCGGCACGAAUAACGCCGUUGGGCUGGGUUUGGGGUGGCUGCCGUAUUGCUACGCGAGCUUAGAUCGCGCUAGGCGGUCUGUCUGCCGAUUGCCCCGAGCGCGCUUGAAGGUGUCCGAGUUUUGAAACGCUGAACUGGUAGAUUGCCUUGAGAGGCUGCUUUGCGCUUCUGCUGCAAGGGUCGUGGUGUGCUCCUCUGUUCGGAGAGAGCGCUCUGUGUUUCCAUUGACUAUAAUAACUCCACGAGGUCCUCACAUCUUGAGCUUGAGGUAUGCAUAAUGUGGUACCACAUUGAAUCUAGCGAAUGCGGUUCGUCUGAGCAGUGCGUGAUAACCACUGCAGAACGGGACUAUAUCGAAGAUUAACUCUUUGCUUCGGAAGUUAUCCGAGGAUCCGAAGACCACUUCCAGUGUAAUUGAGCCUGUGCAGUGCGCCUCUACGCCUGGAAUGACGCCUUUAAAGGUUGUUUUUGUGGGUUUGAUCCUUGAGGGGUCUAUACCCAUUUUGCGCACUGUGUCCUGAUAAAGCAGGUUCAGGCUGCUGCCGCCAUCCAUAAGGACUUGAGUGAGGUGAAAGCCGUCGAUGAUAGGGUCUAGGACCAGUGUGGCAAAUCCGCCAUGAUGGAUACUAGUGGGGUGGUCCCUGCGAUCGAAGGUGAUCGGAUAGGAGGACCAAGGGUUGAACUUUGGGGCGACUGGCUCCAACGCAUAUACGUCCCUCAGCGCACGCUUCCGCUCCCUCUUAGGGAUAUGGGUUGCGUAUAUCAUGUUCACCAUCCGCACUUGCGGGGGAAACCUCUUCUGUCCUCCGGUGUGUGGCUGCCGGGGUUUUUCCUCGUCAUCGCUAUGCGGCCCUUUGUCCUUGUUUUCAGUAAUUAACUUGCCGACCAGCUUGAACACCCAACAAUCCCUGUUGGUGUGAUUGGCUGGCUUGUCUGGGGUGCCGUGUAUUUGACACGAGCGAUCGAGUAUACGGUCCAAGCUGGACGGACCCGGCGUACUUUGUUUGAAUGGCUUUUUCCGCUGACCGGGUUUAGAGCCUUUGAAUCCAGCAUUGACUGCCGUAUCCUUAAUACUUUCACUGUUAAUGUAGUGCUUAUGCUUGUUGCGACGUGACCUACUAUUGCCGUCCUUGGUAUCUGAGGUACCAUGGUUCUUUGAUAUGUUAUUACUGCGAGCAAACUAGCUGUCUUCUCCCGCACAAAAGCGGGUCAUGAGCAUCGUGAGAGCUGCCAUAGAUUUCGGCUUUUCCUGACCAAGGUGCCGGGCUAGCCACUCGUCUCGAAUGUUGUGCUUGAAAGCCGCUAAGGCCUCCGCAUCCGAACAAUCGACGAUUUGAUUUUUCUUUGUAAGGAACCGAGUCCAGAAUUGCCCGGCCGACUCUUCUGGCUGCUGAAUUAUGUGGCUCAAGUCAUCAGCGUCUGGUGGUCGCACAUAAGUGCCCUGAAAGUUGUCGAGGAAUGCGGCUUCCAGAUCUUCCCAACAGCUAAUGGAGUCCGCUGGCAAGCUAUUAAGCCAAUGCCGCGCUGGUCCUUUUAGUUUUAGUGGGUGGUAUUUGAUGGCAUGUAAGUCAUCACCGCAGGCCAUGUGGAUGUGGAAGAGGAAGUCCUCAAUCCAUACUGCGGGAUCUGUUGUGCCGUCGUAUGAUUCAAUGUUUACAGGUUUGAAACCUUCUGGGAAUUGAUGUUCCAUUACUUCGUCUGUGAAGCAUAAGGGGUGUGCGGUGCCUCCGUAUUGGGCUAUAUCGCGACGCAGCUCAUAUGGGUCCUGCCCGCUGUGUUUGGCCCGACCGGAUUUGCUUUUACUGUAUCCGGCAUGACGUUUACUGUCUCGUAGAGUGGUGCGCCCUCGUGAUCCGUAGAUCGAUCUUGAAUGCUUUGCUUUGUCCUCCAAUAUGUCUCGCAGGUCUGGCGUAUCUCCCCAUGCCUUUUUAUUUGGAUGGCGUUGGGGUGGAGGCUGAGCUUUUGGCUGGAAUGCCUCUCUAUCGCGGCCAUGAGGUGGCCGAUCAGCCGUAUCAUAUGCUUCUUCCUCCAGUCGGGGUAGUAACCUGCGCCUUGGGUAACUCUUGAAGGGACGCUCGAGUUUAUAUUCCUCGGCUGCGAGGACUUCAGUCCAUUUGUUAGCUAGCAGAUCUUGAUCAGCUUGAAGCUACCGCUGCUUUUUCUUCAGGCUAUUUGCCGUGGCCAUAAGCCUGCGUUUGAAGCGCUCUUGUUUGAUAGGAUCCUCUGGUACGGCGAAUUCAUCGUCGCCGAGGCUUGCCUUGUCUUCGGAGGGGGGCAUGUAAUUGUCAUCCUCCUCCUCUCCGCCAGCCGCUCUCUCAGGAGAGCUGGCUCCUUCAUCCUCCUGCUCUCAAUCUUGCUGGAGGGGAUUGUUGUUGUCUUGGGCGCUAUCCGGAGUGUUGUUAUCUCCUGUGCCGGUAUCACCACUUUUGCUUUGGCGGGACUUAGAGUGGCGCCGCUGACGUCGGCGCUUGGGUUGCUUCUUGGAGGGAUCAUCCUCCGCCAUCUCGUCGCCGUUGCCUUCAUUGGGUGUAUCCACCAUGUAUAUGUCAUACGACGAGGUGGCUUUCCAGUGCCCUAUAGGUGCUGGUUCAUGUUCAUCUCCUACAUCGUCGUCCAUACCGUCGAUGUCUUCGGAGUCGAAGUCGAGCACGUCGGUUAAAUCAUCGACCGUGGCUACAAAGUGGGUGGUGGGUGGGCGUUGAAUUUCUUCGUCGUCCGCAUCCCAAUCCUGUUGGCCAUAAUCUGGCCAGGGCUCUCCUGACAAAGAGAGAGACCUUAGUGAAUUCAAAAUGUCGCCGAAGGGCGAGUGCUGAAAGAUAUCCGCGGCGGUGAAUUCCAUGAUCGGCGCCCAAUCUGAUUAGAUUGGCAGGGGCGCGGAUGGUUCGGUUUCUGGAAGAGAGUCCGGCACCUUGGAGUCACGGGCUGCACGGAGAUUUGUGCUGGUGUUCGGCUUGAUCGCCGUUGAGACUGCAACCCCUGAGGUGGUGUCUAACCACCCGUCCUCGAUUGGCACAGUUGGCUCCAAACUAAGGGUCGGAGCUGAUGCGGGCGCGGCUUCUGGGGUACUGUUCGGCGGUAGAGCUAGGUCAUACCCAUCGCGACAGUGGGGCGCGCCCGGCUGCAGCUCGAAUCCGUCAAAGAUCAAGUCUCCGCGGAUGUCGGUCGUGUAGUUCAAACUUCCAAAUCUGACCUGAUGGCCAGGGGCGUAGCUUUCAAUCUGCUCCAGAUGGCCAAGCGAAUUAGCCCGCAGUGCAAAGCCGCCGAAUACGAAGAUCUGUCUAGGGAGAAAAGUCUCACCCUGGACCGCAUCGCUAUCGAUGAUAGUAGGAGCCAUCAAGCCCAACGGCGACGACACAGAGGAACUCUCUAUGAAAGCACCAAUGUCGGUGUCAAAACCGGCGGAUCUUGGGUAGGGGGUCCCGAACUGUGCGUCUAGGCCGGAUGGUAACAGGAGGCAAGGGACACAAAUUUUUACCCAAGUUCGGGCCCUCUUGAUGGAGGUAAAACCCUACGUCCUGCUUGAUUAAUAUUGAUGAUAUGGGUGUUACAAGAGUAGAUCUACCACGAGAUCAGAGAGGCUAAACCCUAGAAGUUAGCCUAUGGUAUGAUUGUAUGUUAUGAUUGUUGUCCUACAGACUAAAACCCUUCGGUUUAUAUAGACACCGGAGAGGCUUAGGGUUACAUAAGGUCGGUUACAAAGGAGGAGAUAUCCAUAUACGUAUUGCCUAGCUUGCCUUCCACGCCAAGUAGAGUCCCAUCCGGACACGAGACGAAGUCUUCAAUCUUGUAUCUUCAUAGUCUAAUAGUCCGUCCAAUGGAGAUAGUCCGGCUGUCCGGAGACCCCCUAAUCCGGGACUCCCUCAGUGACCAAUGGGUUAGUUAUGGGAUGUUGCAUUACAGAACGAGUAAAGAGACUUGCCGGUAACGAGAUUGAACUAGGUAUUGAGAUACCGACGAUAGAAUCUCGGGCAAGUAACAUACCAAUGACAAAGGGAACAACGUAUGUUGUUAUGCAGUUUGACCGAUAAAGAUCUUCGUAGAAUAUGUAGGAACCAAUUUGAGCAUCCAGGGCUAUUGGUUUAUUGACCGGAGAUGAGUCUCGGUCAUGUCUACAUAGUUCUUGAACCCGUAGGAUCCGCACGCUUAAUGUUCGGCGACGAUUGGUAUUAUGAGUUUAUGUGUUUUGAUGUACCGAAGGUUGUUCCGAGUCCCGGAUGUGAUCACGGGCAUGACAAGGAGUCUUGAAAUGGUCGAGACAUAAAGAUCGAUAUAUUGGAAGCUUAUGUUUGGACAUCAGAAUGGUUCCAGGUGAGUUUGGGAAUAUACCGGAGUACUGGGAGGUUACCGGACCCCCUCGGGAAGUAUAUGGGCCUUAUUGGGCCAUAGUGGGAGAGAGGAGAAGGGAGCCUAGGAGGGGGCAUGCCCCCAAGCCCAAUCCGAAUUGGGUGGGGGCCGGCCCCCAUUUCCUUCCCCCCUCUCUCCCCUUCCUUCCUCUCCUAAUCCAACUAGGGAAGGAGGGGGGGGGGAAUCCUACUCCCGGUGGGAUUAGGAGUCCCUUGGCCACGCCAUAGAGGGCCGACCCCUCCCCCUCCUCCACUUCUUUAUAUACGGGGGAGGGGGCACCCCAUAGACACACAAGUUGACAAUUAUCUUAGCCGUGUGCGGUCCCCCCUCCACCAUAAUCCACCUUGGUCAUAUCGUUGCAGUGAUUAUGUGAAGCCCUGUUCCGGUAGCUUCAUCAUCACCAUCCACACGCUGUCGUGCUGACAAAACUCUCCCUCGACACUCAGCUGGAUCUAGAGUUCAUGGGACGUCUCCGAGGUUAACGUGUGUAGAUCGCGUAGGUGCCGUACCUUCGGUGCUAGGAUCGGUCGGAUCGUGAAGACGUUCGACUACGUCAACUGCGUUGUCAUAACGCUUCCGCUUACGAUCUAUGAGGGUACGUGGACAACACUCUUCCCCUCUUGUUGCUAUGCAUCACCAUGAUAGAUCUUGCGUGUGUGUAGGAUUUUUUUUGAAAUUACUGUGUUCCCGAACAGUGGCAUCUGAACCAGUUCUAUGCGUAGAUGUUAUAUGCACGAGUAGAACACAAAGGAGUUGUGAGCGUGGGUAUAUACAUAUUGCUUGUCAUCACUAGUUGAUUCUUGAUUCAGCGGUAUUGUUGGAUGAAGUGGCUCAGACCGACAUUACGCGUACGCUUACGCGAGACUGGUUCUACCGACGUGCUUCGCACACAGGUGGCUGGUGGGUGUCAGUUUCUCCAACUUUAGUUGAAUCAGAUUCAAUGAACAGGGUUCUUUCUGAAGAUCAAAAAGCAAUCACUAUACCGCGUUGUGGUUUUUGAUGCGUAGGUAAGAACGGUUCUUGCUCAGCCCGUAGCAGCCACGUAAAACUUGCAAUAACAAAGUAGAGGAUGUCUAACUUGUUUUUGCAGGGCAUGUUGUGAUGUGAUAUGGUCAAGACAUGAUACUAAAUUUUAUUGUAUGAGAUGAUCAUGUUUUGUAACAGAGUUAUCUGCAACUGGCAGGAGCCAUAUGGUUGUCGCUUUAUUGUAUGAAAUGCAAUCGCCAUGUAAUUGCUUUACUUUAUCACUAAGCGGUAGCGAUAGUUGUAGAAGCAAUAGUUGGCAAGACGACAAUGAUGCUUCAAUGGAGAUCAAGGUGUCAAGCCGUUGACGAUGGUGAUCAUGACGGUGCUUUGGAGAUGGAGAUCAAAGGCACAAGAUGAUGAUGGCCAUAUCAUAUCACUUAUAUUGAUUUCAUGUGAUGUUUAUCCUUUAAGCAUCUUAUUUUGCUUAGUUCGGCGGUAGCAUUAUAAGAUGACCUCUCACUAAAUUUCAAGGUAUAAGUGUUCUCCCUGAGUAUGCACCGUUGCUACAGUUCGUCGUGCCAAGACACCAUAUGAUGAUCGGGUGUGAUAAGCUCUACGUUCACAUACAACGGGUGCAACCUGUUUUGCACACGCGGAAUACUCGGGUUAAACUUGACGAGCCUAGCAUAUGCAGAUAUGGCCUCGGAACAUUGAGACUGAAAGGUCGAGCAUGAAUCCUAUAGUAGAUAUGAUCAACAUAGUGAUGUUCACCAUUGAAAACUACUCCAUCUCACAUGAUGAUCAGACAUGGUUUAGUUGAUAUGGAUCACGUGAUCACUUAGAUGAUUAGAGAGAUGUCUAUCUAAGUGGGAGUUCUUAAGUAAUUUGAUUAAUUGAACUUUAAUUUAUCAUGAGCUUAGUACCUGAUAGUAUUUUGCAUGUCUAUGUUGUUGUAGAUUGAUGGCCCGUGCUGUUGUUCCAUUGAUUUUCAAUGCGUUCCUAGAGAAAGCUAAGUUGAAAGAUGAUGGUAGCAAUUACACGGACUGGGUCCAUAACUUGAGUAUUAUCCUCAUUGUUUCACAUAAGAAUUACGUCCUAGAAGCACCGCUAGGUGACAAACCCGCUGCGGGAGCAACACCAGAUGUUGUGAACACCUGGCAGAGCAAAGUUCAUGACUACUCGAUAGUUCAGUGUGCCAUGCUUUACGGCUUAGAACCGGGACUUCAACGAUGUUUUGAACGUCAUGGAGCAUAUGAGAUGUUCCAGGAGUUGAACUUAAUAUUUCAAGCAAAUGCCCGGAUUGAGAGAUAUUAAGUCUCCAAUAAAUUCUACAACUGCAAAAUGGAGGAGAAUAGUUCUGUCAGUGAACAUAUACUCAGAAUGUCUAGGUACCACAACCACUUGACUCAACUGGGAGUUAAUCUUCCUGAUGAUAGUAUCAUUGACAGAGUUCUUCAAUCGCUGCCACCAAGCUACAAGAGCUUCGUGAUGAACUAUAAUUUGCAAGGGAUGGAUAAGACGAUUCCUGAGCUCUUCGCAAUGCUAAAGGCUGCAGAGGUAGAAAUCAAGCAGGAGCAUCAAGUGUUGAUGGUCAACAAGACCAUCAGUUUCAAGAAAAAGGGUAAAGGGAAUAAGAGGAAUGAGGGAGUCCUGGAUUAGGGGGUCUCCGGACAGCCGGACUAUCUCCAUUGGCCGGACUGUUAGACUAUGAAGAUACAAGAUUGAAGACUUCGUCUCGUGUCCGGAUGGGACUCUACUUGGCGUGGAAGGAAAGCUAGGCAAUACGUAUAUGGAUAUCUCCUCCUUUGUAACCGACCUUGUGUAACCCUAACCCUCUCCAGUGUCUAUAUAAACCGAAGGGUUUUAGUCCAUAGGACAACAAUCAUAACAUACAAUCAUACCAUAGGCUAGCUUCUAUGGUUUAGCCUCUCCGAUCUCGUGGUAGAUCUACUCUUGUAACACCCAUAUCAUCAAUAUUAAUCAAGCAAGACAUAGGGUUUUACCUCCAUCAAGAGAGCCCGAACCUGGGUAAAACUUCGUGUCCCUUGCCUCCUGUUACCAUCCGGCCUAGAUGCAUAGUUCGGGACCCCAUACCCGAGAUCCGCCGGUUUUGACACCGACAUUGGUGGUUUCAUUGAGAGUUCCUCUGUGUCGUCGCCGUUGGGCUUGAUGGCUCCUACUAUCAUUGAUAGCGAUGCGGUCCAGGGUGAGACUUUUCUCCCCGGACAGAUCUUCGUAUUUGUCGGCUUUGCACUGCGGGCUAAUUCGCUUGGCCAUCUGGAGCAGAUUGAAAGCUACGCCCUGGCCAUCAGGUCAGAUUUGGAAGUUUGAACUACACGACCGACAUCCGCGGAGACUUGAUCUUCGACGGAUUCGAGCCGCAGCCGGACGCGCCCCGUUGUCACGAUGGGUAUGACCUAGCUCUACCGCCGAACAGUACCCCAGAAGCCGCGCCCGCAUCAGCUCCGACCCUUAGUUCGGAGCCAACUGCACCAAUCGAGGACGGGUGGUUAGACACCACCUUAGGGGUUGCAGUCUCAACGGCGAUCGAGCCGAACACCAGCACAAAUCUCCAUGCAGCUCGUGACUCCAAGGUGCCGGACUCUCUUCCGGAAACCGAACCAUCCGCGCCCCUGCCAAUCGAAUCCGAUUGGGCGCCGAUCAUGGAAUUCACCGCCGCAGAUAUCUUUCAGCACUCGCCCUUCGGCGACAUUCUGAAUUCACUAAGGUCUCUCUCUUUGUCAGGAGAGCCCUGGACGGAUUAUGGCCAACAGGAUUGGGAUGCGGACGACGAAGAAAUUCGACGCCCACCCACCACCCACUUUGUAGCCACGGUCGAUGAUUUAACUGACGUGCUCGACUUUGACUCCGAAGACAUCGACGAUAUGGACGACGAUGUAGGAGACGAACAUGAACCAGCACCUAUAGGGCACUGGAAAGCCACCUCGUCAUAUGACAUAUACAUGGUGGAUACACCCAAUGAAGGCAACAACGACGAGAUGGCGGAGGAUGACCCCUCCAAGAAGCAACCCAAGCGCCGACGUCAGCGGCGUCGCUCUAAGUCCCGCCAAAGAAAAAGUGGUGAUACCGACACAGGAGAUAAUAACACUCCGGAUAGAGCCGAAGACAACAACAAUCCCCUCCAGCAAGAUUUAGAGCAGGAGGAUGAAGGAGCCAGCUCUCCUGAGAGAGCGGCUGGCGGAGAGGAGGAGGAGGACAAUUACAUGCCCCCUCCGAAGACGAGGCAAGCCUCGGUGACGAUGAAUUCGAUGUACCAGAGGAUCCCGUCGAACAAGAGCGCUUCAAGCGCAGGCUUAUGGCCACGACAAAUAGCCUGAAGAAAAAGCAGCAGCAGCUUCAAGCUGAUCAAGAUCUGCUAGCUGACAAAUGGACUGAAGUCCUCGCAACCGAGGAAUAUAAACUCGAGCGUCCCUUCAAGAGUUACCCAAGGCGCAGGUUACUACCCUGACUGGAGGAAGAAGCGUAUGAUACGGCUGAUCAGCCACCUCGUGGCCGCGAUAGAGAGGCAUUCCAGCCAAAAGCUCAGCCUCCACCCCAACGCCAUCCAAAUAAAAAGGCAUGGGGAGAUACGCCAGACCUGCGAGACAUAUUGGAGGACAAAGCAAAGCAUUGAAGAUCGAUCUACGGAUCACGAGGGUGCACCACUCUACGAGACGGUAAACGUCAUGCCGGAUACAGUAAAAGCAAAUCCGGCCGGGCCGAAUACAGCGGGCAGGACCCAUACGAGCUGCGUCGCGAUAUAGCCCAAUACAAAGGCGCCGCACACCCCUUAUGCUUCACAGACGAAGUAAUGGAACAUCAAUUCCCAGAAGGUUUCAAACCUGUAAACAUUGAAUCAUACGACGGCACAACAGAUCCCGCAGUAUGGAUUGAGGACUUCCUCCUCCACAUCCACAUGGCCCACGGUGAUGACUUACAUACCAUCAAAUACCUCCCACUAAAACUCAAAGGACCAGCGCGGCAUUGGCUUAAUAGCUUGCUAGCAGACUCCAUUAGCUGUUGGGAAGAUCUGGAAGCCGCAUUCCUCGACAACUUUCAGGGCACUUAUGUGCGACCACCAGACGCCGAUGACUUGAGCCACAUAAUUCAGCGGCCAGAAGAGUCGGCCAGGCAAUUCUGGACUCGGUUCCUUACAAAGAAAAAUCAAAUCGUCGACUGUCCGGAUGCGGAGGCCUUAGCGGCUUUCAAGCACAACAUCCGAGAUGAGUGGCUAGCCCGACACCUUGGUCAGGAAAAGCCGAAAUCUAUGGCAGCUCUCACGACGCUCAUGACCCGCUUUUGUGCGGGAGAAGACAGCUGGUUGGCUCGCAGUAAUAACAUAUCAAAGAACCGUGGUACCUCAGAUACCAAGGACGGCAAUAGCAGGUCAUGUCGCAACAAGCAUAAGCGCCGCAUUAACAGCGAAAGUACUGAGGAUACGACAUUCAAUGCCGGAUCCAAAGGAUCUAAACCCGGUCAGCGAAAAAAGCCAUUCAAACAAAGUACAUCGGGUCUGUCCAGCUUGGACCGUAUACUCGAUCGCUCGUGUCAAAUACACGGCACCCCAGACAAGCCAGCCAAUCACACCAACAGGGAUUGUUGGGUGUUCAAGCAGGCCAGCAAGUUAAUUGCCGAAAAUAAGGACAAAGGGCCGCAUAGCGAUGACGAGGAAGAACCACGGCAGCCGCACACCGAAGGACAGAAGAGGUUUCCCCCGCAAGUGCGGAUGGUGAACAUGAUAUACGCAACCCAUAUCCCCAAGAGGGAGCGGAAGUGUGUGCUCAGGGACGUAUAUGCGUUGGAGCCAGUCGCCCCAAAGUUCAACCCUUGGUCCUCCUAUCCGAUCACCUUCGAUCGCAGGGACCACCCCACUAGUAUCCAUCAUGGCGGAUUUGCCACACUGGUUCUAGACCCAAUCAUCGACGGUUUUCACCUCACUCGAGUCCUUAUGGAUGGCGCCAGUAGCCUGAACCUGCUUUAUCAGGACACAGUGCGCAAAAUGGGUAUAGACCCCUCAAGGAUCAAACCCACAAAAACGACCUUUAAAGGCGUCAUUCCAGGCGUAGAGGCGCACUGCACAGGCUCAAUUACACUGGAAGUGGUCUUCGGAUCCUCGGAUAACUUCCGAAGCAAAGAGUUAAUCUUUGAUAUAGUCCCGUUCUGCAGUGGUUAUCACGACUGCUCAGACGAACCGCAUUCGCUAGAUUCAAUGCGGUACCACAUUAUGCAUACCUCAAGCUCAAGAUGUGAGGACCUCGCGGAGUUAUUACAGUCAAUGGAAACACAGAGCACUCUCUCCGAACAGAGGAGCACACCAUGGCCCUUGCAGCAGAAGCGCAAAGCAGCCUCUCAAGGCAAUCUACCAGUUCGGCGUUUCAAAACUCGGACACCUUCAAGCGCGCUCGGGGCAAUUGGCAGACAGACCGCCUGAUGCGAUCUGAGCUCGCCUAGCAAUACGGCGGCCACCCCAAACCCAUCCCAACGGUGUUAUUCAUGUCGCGCGUACAUAAUUACGCAUUAAAAAUACCAUGGGCACAGGAGGGGGGGGGGGGGCACAACUGCGGCACGCCCCAAAACGCAGCCUAAACCGCACUAGGGGCUUCCCGUUUGGUUAUUUUUCUUUUUCUUUCAGGACUUUAAUCUCUGCAAACACUGUCCGGCAGCUCCAUUGUGGAACACAUGAUACAACAACCAAGGAGGCAGACAACUACGUUAUACAACAGAAUUCCCAGGUUUAUUACAGAUUUCAUAUCAUUCCUCAGCUCGCCCUUGGAAGGGACAUAGUCCUACUCUUUUGCUUAUUGCACUAUCUGUAUCGCUCUGCUUUAAUGCAAUUUUUUAAUAAACAAUGCAUGACAUUACGACUAUUAUUGCAUCUUUGUUUUAUAUAUAUAUAGAGAGAGAGAGUGACACUAUUUUAAUUCCAGGAUUAGAAUAACUAUUUGGAUCACAGCAGCCCUAUAUAGGGCCCGACAGGGCCCUCCCGAACUUCCGAACUACCGCUGGCCCGACAGGAUCCAUUGGAUCCCGAGGCCCCCCGACAGGAUCCACCUGAUCCCGAUCCCGAUCCCGAGCUGCCCCAGCCCCCUCCUCCCCUCGAUCCCCCGACCUCCCCCUCAUCACCGCUGAUCUUCGUCGGAUCCGCCGCCUACCUUCCUUCCCCAGCUCCUGGCCGGCCGGAUCCUCCGCCUCCCUUCCUUCCCCAGCUCCUGGCCGGCCACCGGCCACCGGCACGGGCGAGCGAGCGAUGGCGGAUGCCAGCGCGAGGGAGCCCGCGUCGCCUGGAUGCGGCGAAGCCGCCAUGGACUUCAGGAAGCCGCAUCCUCGUCCCAUCGUCACCGCCCGAAGCCUUGGCAGACCAGAUGACGGCCCCGACGCAAGCAACGGCGAGCGGCGCGACCAACAGAGCAACUCCUCCGCGGAGGCGGCAUCGGCUGCGCCCUCAAAUUCAGCGGCAAAAGUACAUGAACUUCCUCCCAAUUUUGCCUUCUUCUUCAAUCUUGCUUUCUCUGACCUUCUUGCUUCGUGCAGAUGAACUUCGCGCCCCCUGCAAGACAUGGAUUGCCAUGGAAUUCCUCUACUACCUCCAUGACGAAUUGUUCUCAAGGUGGCCUAUCAUCAGCUGUUGGAAAAAGAUUGGCCGAACUUCUAGCCAGGGUAUGGUUGAACUUCUUCCUUCCUUCGGUUUGUUAUUUGCCUACAGCUAUGUGAAGUUCAGGUGGUGUGUGAGCCUCAGUCCAGGCUACAAAAGCUUUUUGAAAUUCUGCCUGCUUACAACCAUGUGAAGUUCUUGUAGUGUGUGAGCCUCAGUCCAGGCUACAAAACAACAUUGUAAAAAUCUGCCUGCUUACAGGCAUGUGAAGUUCAGGUAGUAUGUGAGCAUCAGUCCAGGCUACAAACACUAUAAAAUCUGCAUGCAUUCACAUUCACAUGUGAAGUUCAACUAGUAAGUGUGCUAGAGUUCAGGUUGGUAUGUCUCUGGUUCUGUGCAAAAAAAUAGAAGGAAAAUAAAACAUGCACGUGAUAUGACAUGAAGGUCAGGUUGGUAUGCACUAGCAGUCCAUCCAUUCAAACGCAUGAAGGUUCAAGUUUUUUAACUAUAGAUAGUAUUUCCCCUUUGCAAAACAGGAAGUUCAGGUUGUGGACAGUGCUCAGUUCAGGUGCAUAUAAGUAAUAAAAUAUUAUAGAAUUAAAAAAUAGGAUGUGAAGUUAAUUCUGUGAAGGGUGCUCAGUUCAGGUACAAAAGUAUUGGCAGAUGCUCAGCUCAGUGCAUAGUGUGAUGGCUAUCACCACUUUUAUAUGAGAAGUUCAGGCUGUGAAUAAUGCUAAGUUCAGUUACAAAGGUAUAGGCAAAUAUAACUUGUGUGCUAAUAAACAUUUUUUUCUUUUAUGUCAGGAAGACGAGAGACGCAUGAAGAAGCUUAGAAGUUCCCAACAGCAAGUACACAAUCCAAAGCCUGUACGCGUUGCACCACCCCCUCAAUGGGUCACGCCUCAAACGCACCAACAGCAUUACCAACCUGCUCCAGACCAAAAAUGGAUGACACCCGAAACACACGGAUACUUCCGAGAUGCUGGGUCACAGCCCUAUCCGCACAGGUUUGUGCCUCCACCUAACUGGGUGACGCCGGAAAUCCCCCGCGGAUUCUUUGUAUCCACAAGCAGGCUCCCAAGCACGCCGAUGGAGGAGGGGGUUAGCUCAAGUCAUGCGUGUAACUAUGGAGGUUAUCCUGGUGUGCCUCGUCAACGCCAAAGCCAAGCAACUAAACCGGAUCCCAGGACAAAUCCAACAGCAACACACACAUGGAGGAGAGUGAUCUGCACACUACCACCGUUUGAUCCUGCUGCUGCUGCUACAAGUCAGAAUUGUACGGGUGAUAAGGUAGAUGGAUUGCUUCAUAAAACAAAAGAGCAAACCAAGACCAGGAUCGCAAUACCUCCACAACCACCUCAAGCAAAAAGGACGCAAACAAGAGAGAUGCCAUCUUCAGCCCUCCUUCCUCCUCGUGAUCCACUGCUGGAUCCUGCUAUGAUUACUCUGCCAUGCCCCAUCCCAGAGGGACAGCAACCGACACCGGCGGAGUUGCGAUCAUACACGCACGUAAGUGAAACAAAAAAAUAUUUAUAUACGCAUCUUGUAUUAUCUGCACAUUUUCUGCUCCCUCCAGAAUAACAAGUUCAUAAACUGCAUUUUAACGUGCUGUUUGGAUUAUUAUUUUUUCUUUUUCUGCAGAUGUCAGAUCUACCGGAUUAUCUAAUACCAAGACUAAAGAUGUGAUUCAAAGAUGUAGAGAAAGCAAGGGAAUUUUAUAACAGAUACGCUAGGCACGCUGGUUUUGGAAUCAGGAAGACGGGUGGAAAUGACAACCACAAGUAUUUUGUUUGCGCCUUCCAAGGGAUACACACAUCUUCUGUUUCAGAGGCCAACAGGGAGCGAAACAAAACAUCGCAGACAACGGGAUGCAAUGCAAGAAUGAGGGUGAAGGUGCAGGAGGAUGACACAUGCGUGGCAGUGGACAUUGAGUACAAUCAUAAUCACCAGCUCAUGCAAACUGAUGACAUGCUGGUAUUUUUGCACUCACACAAGAAUUAUGACCCCACUAUUCUGGAGUAUGUAAAGCUUCUGCAGUACCAUGAUGUCAAGCACACAACAAUCAUGUCCAUGCUAUCUGAAAAUGAAGAUGGAAGCUACUUCCUAAGCAUGACCGGACGAGACCUACUAAACCAGUAAGUAUUCAAACACCCACAUGCUGCAAUGUAAAAUAGCAUCCUAGCUCACAAUCCCUUUGAUAGCAAAAAUAACAAAUGCAUGUUGGUGUGUGAUUUGCAGGAAAGCCAUGAAUGCAAGGAAAGAUGAUUUGUAUGAUGUAUUAAAACUUGUUUCAUUCUUCAAAGACAUGAAGGCAAUAAAUGAUGAGUUUUUCUAUGACAUCCAAGUGGACAAGGACAAGUCAAUUAAAAACAUUUUCUGGUCCAAUGCAAGCUGCCGAGGAGCCUACCAGGACUUCAGCGAUUGCGUAACAUUUGACACGACUUACAAGACCAACAGAUUUCAUAUGCCCCUGGGAGUGUUUGUUGGAACAAACCAUCACUUGCAGUCAACGAUAUUUGCUGUUGCCCUGAUAAGAGACAAAGAUGCAAAGCCAUUCAAGUGGCUGUUCGAUACAUUUCUACGGUGCAUGAACAACAAGCACCCAACUUGCAUUCUAACAGGUGAGUUCAAAAAAAACUCCUCAAGUUUCAUCAUCUUUUCAGUCUAUGGGUCUCUGUUGAUUGGGUACAUUUGUUUUUUCUGAAAAUAUGUAAAGAAUGCAGUUCAACCACUAUUAGCACAGAAGUCCAACUAGCAAUACAAGAAAGCAAAAUUAUCUGUCACAUGUUUAGAAAAAAAGUAGUUAUGAAUGUGAAGUUCAAGUACAUGAAUCAUAGAAGUUCAAGGAUGAAGCCUUAGAUAAAAAUACGUAGCAUGUUCAGAAAACAUAGUUAUUUAUGUGAAGUUCAAUCACUGCUACCACAGAAGUUCAACAACACUGCUGUAAGAAAAUUUUUGAGUGUGACACUACUAGUUUGUCCUACUACUAACUGUGAAGUUCAAGCACUGGUACCACAGAAGUUCAGCAACACUGCUGUAAGAAAAAAAUACAUGUGACAUUCUUAGAUAGCCAUACUACCAGAUGUGAAGUUCAAUUACUUGUGCAACAUAAGUUCACCAUCAGUACAAAAAAGAAUCAAGUUUCAUUUUUUUAAUUCAUGCAGACUAGUGCCCAUCGAUGGCGAAAGCUAUACCACAAUCAUUUCCAAACACCGUCCACAAGCUAUGCCGUUGGCACAUAUUGAAGAAGUACAGGGAAUACCUCACGUUGUUGUACAAAAAGUAUAAAACAUUCAAAGAGGAGUUCACAACUAUAUUGAACUGGCCGCUGAUGCCAACGGAGUUUGAAGAUGCCUGGGCUGAACUCGUGCACAAGUACCACCUGGAGAACGACCAGAUGAUGAUGCAGCUCUGGAGUGAUAGGAAGAUGUGGAUUUCAGCAUAUUACAAGAACAUUUUCUGUGCUAGAAUGACUUCCACACAACAAAGCGACAACAUGAACCACGUGCUAAAGAAAGGGUUUGUCAAGGGGACCCAGAACCUACACAAGUUUGCUAGGCAGGUCAAUGCUUGCAUACAAACUCGGAUGCAGAAGGAGAACAAGCAAACAAUGACCAGCAUGGUAUGAUGACAAGUACAAAACACCACCAUCAUGUUCUGUUUACCUUCAACAUGUGCACUUUGAAUUUUAAAAAAUGAAACCCAUGAUUCUGCUUUGACUAAUAUCUUACUUUUUGACAUGUGCAGACCAAUCCUGUGACAAAGACAACUUACGGCUACGAGGAAGACAUGUCUAUCAAGUACACGAGAGCCGUGUACACCGAGAUGAGGAAUAGGAUGAGAAAGGCCACUCUAUUUCGCGCAAAGCGUACAACAGAGUCCACUAAGUACCUUGUGUACUACCAUAACAAGCCUGGCCAUGAUGAUGAAGAAAGAUUUUCCUGGUCAAAGCAUGAAUUCCAGGUUGUAGCUGACCCAGACAAUGAAAUAUACAAGUGUGAAUGCAAGCUCUGGACACACACAGGUGAGCGGGAAAACAAACUCAUUAAAUAGCUAGACUAGUAGUAUCAGAUCAAAAUUUAUGAAACUCAUUGCUGGCUCACAAACUAUGUAUUCUGCAUUCAUGACAAAAUGCAGGCCUGUUCUGCCUUCACAUCAUGAACAUACUGGACUACCUGAAGCCUGACAAAUUUCCAAACAAGUAUAUCCUCAAACGGUACACAAAGACUGCAAAAUCACAGCCAACCUUUGAUACAAGGGACUACAACACAACCGCAUCGGAUGGCAGCUCAAGGCUAUCGAAGCAAGACAUCUUGCUGCGGCUGAAUUUGAUGGUUAACAAGAAAGCGAUGAGAUGUGACCAGCAGUAUGACAGAGCCUACUAUGUUCUCAAGAGGCUCGUGGAAGAGCUUGAUGCAAUACAUUCUGCAAAUCGAGCGGAUGCUGACGAAAGGAUGGCUGAAGAGGACGCUGAAAUUGAAGAUGACCUUCACUAUUAUGCAGCUGAAAUGCUCAACGCCGCCGCUGAAGCCAACCAAUGCAAGCAGGGUGAUGGCCAAUCAAUGGAGCAGCGACAGCAAGAGACGAUGAAACUGCCACUGUAUUCUGAAACAAAGGGUAGGAAGAAAAUUACUGCAGCAAAGAAAAGUGACAAGAGAGCGCAAAUAAAGGCACCACCUGCAGGAAGAGUCGUGGUGCUCGAUGAGAAUGGAGUGCCACUUGGACACAGGAAAUGUAGUGUGUGCAACUAGGUUGCGGGACACAACAAGCUGACCUGUCCAACACUCUUGGAAAGAAACAAUGCCGAGGAGAUCAAGCAACCCAAAUCUCAAAAAUAGCAACCCAAAGUUAUGGAACAAAAGAAGGGACCACACCCACAGAAAGAAAGCACCAGACUUUGUAGCAUAUGCAAGGAGUAUGAACCACAUAAUGCAAUAACAUGCCCGAAGCGAGCAGAUGCUGAAAAGACAAGCAAAAAGCGAGAGAAGAAACAGAAAGCAAAACCCAGAGCCAGCAACAAGAAAGAGGUGGAAGAGGAAGAGGAAGAUGAAGACGAAGACACCGUCAAAGAAGAGGAAGACGAAGACGAAGAGAACGAUGAAGAGAAAGAGGAAGAGGAUGAUGAAGAGGAAGAGGAAGAGGACGAUGAAGAGGAAGAUGAAGAGGAAGAGGUACAUGUCAAGCAAAAACCUAUAAAACCAAAGCCUAGGAGGAGCGCAAGGCUGAUGAACAGUUAGAAUAGGUCAAUUAACACAAUGCAAACUUAUGUCAUGUUAAUGCCCAGAAUAUUAUGUCAUCCCCUUUUAUUGUUGAACUUUCAAAGAAGUCCUGGUAACAUACACUAUGAAGUUCACAUAGUAUUACUGCAGAAGUCCUGGUAUGUUAUGAGAUGAAGUGCUAUGCUGAUGAUGUACUGCAUGAAAGAGCAAGCAGUAAUAAAAUGAAAAACAUACACUGUGAAGUUCAAGUAAUAUUACUGCAGAAGUCCUGGUAUGUUAUGGGAUGAAGUGAUGUGCUGGUGAUGUAUUGCAUGAAAGUGCAAGCAAGAACAAACAUGAAAAACAUAUACUGUGAAGUUGAAGUAAGCUUACUGCAGAAGUCCUUGUAUAUUAUGGCAGGAGGUGCUCGUGUUGUAUUCCAUAAAAGUGCAACCAACAAAUAAUCAUAUAGUAUUGAAGUUCAGGUCAGCUUAUAGAAGAAGUUCUGGUAUAUAAAAUCGAUGUAGGAAAAAAUAUGCUUAAAAAAUAAAGUUUCACCGCAUAAACUAAGGUUAGCAAGCCUAAGACAACGCGUUCAAAUGUGAAGUUCUGCUUGGAUACAUGCAGAAGUUCAUGUACAAUGCCAACAAAAGAUAAAGAAACGUCAACAAUAUUUCUGCACAGAUUUACAUAUGAAAUACGUUCGCACUUGAAAAAAUACAAAAAAACAAAUAUAGAUUCUAUGCAAAAACAUACAUAUUGGUUGGGUUGAACAUUACCAAUACAUUACACAACACAAAAUAUCCUCUCCAUAUGAAACCAGCAGCCCAGCCACAUCUCAAAGCAGAAGUUCAAGUCUACGAUCAUAUGUUGGGAGCCCGAAAAUAAACAACACAAGAAAAAUCAAGCAGUUAAACCAAAACCGUGGCAGAAGUUCAGGUACAUCUGUUGGGGCAAAAACAUUCAACACAUGGAUACUGAAAAACGACACAGUACAUUGAAAUUCACAAAGCCAAAUCAUUCUUCACACCAAAUGCAUUUGUCCACAAUAUCAUAAGUAAUAGUGCUGCACCUAUAGAUACGCAAAUCACUAAAAACAUUCUUACAACCAAAUCUUUACGGAAUUGUUCCAAUCAUUGUCAAACCUAAAAAUCUGUACGAAAUCAAAUCUACAGAUGAAACUAAUGCUUCGAAUUCACGGGCCAAAGGACUGGAUCUCUUUAGGGAGCUCUGAACGCACGACUUCAUUCUUCUCGCUAAAAAUCAGAGUGUGCAUGAACUCAACCUUCCAGUCAUCUGCAGUAGCCUGCAAACAAAGAAAGGUGAAAAUGAUGGUUUAGUAACGGAUAUCUAAAACCACAGCAGGAGCGUCUCAACAAAAACACACAAGAAUAAUCAAAGGAUGAUGAGACAAGAACAAAGACAGAACAUACUUCCACAUCACCAAAAUCUUCAACAAUCUCAUCGCCAUCAUACGAAGAGCUGAACUUCACGGCAAAGAAACCACAAUCAUUACUCUUCUGCUUCGGAACAUCGAUGAAAGUCAGCCUCUUUGCAAUAGUCACCCAGUUAGGCUGCUUGCUCGCCUUGUAUGCAGCCUUGCCGUACACCUCCUCGAGCAACCCAACAAAUCUCUUCAUCUGCCAGAAAUAACAAAGUUAGAUGAAGUCAAAAACAUGUUAACCAAAAUAGUUAAGUUCAGGUACAUAAAAAAGCGACACUUUCAUAAGAUCCACCUAAACAAAAUAGCAGAAGUUCAACUUCUAAAUGACAGUCAGUUCAAGCAGUAUUACCAAAACAGAGACAACAACAUAUUUUGUCAACACAAGGCAUAAUAAACUUUGUGUCAAACAAGAGAAUGUGAAAGGAGGUUCAGGCUAAGAAACACUCACGAUAUUUUGGCAGUCCCCGUGAAAACUCGAUCGCGACGUUUGCAUAUUAUCGUAAGAAAGUGAAUCAAGGAUUUCAAUGCUCCCACGAUAUAUAUUCAACACAUACACACUGUAGUGCGCCAUUGUGCCAAUUGGCUUGAAUAGAAUCAAGAAAACCUGCCAAGAAUGAAAGGAUUGGUGAACACAAACUAUAAAAGCAUAUGUACUGAAGAACCGGCAUGAACAAAAACUUCUUGACAAACUCAGCAAAAGGAUGCACAUGAAAUUAAAAAAAGCAAGAGUUAUGAAAACCUAACUAGCUUUGCGUUAAGAAGGUCUUCUUCCUUGCGAACUAACAUUGGGAGGAGACCAGCAGAUUUUUUUGCAUCAAACUUUGGAACUGUUGCACCGAAGAAAUCAUACUCCAGGCAGUACUGUGCAUUCACAAAAACACAAUUAAAACACCUCCCAAAUGCUACUACAACAAAACUAAGGCAAAAAGAAGGAGAUAGGGGUGCAAAGAACUAAAACCUGUAUGAAGUAGGGACUAAGUACAACCCUGUCAGCACUAGUCAAUAUCUCAGAGGUCUCCGGCUUAUCCUUCCACAAAUUUAUGAGAUAAUCCAUUAUGUCUCCUUCCAUCUGCUGCCCUUCACCGAAAAGCGUAUAAAGGACACGUCCUGUGAGGUCAAUCACAUUCGCAGGGAUGGUAAACAUGCAGUAGCUUGUCCUGCAUAAUACAAAAGGAUGGUAAAAAAUAUUAGCAGUUCAGAUACAACAACAAACAGAAGUUCAGACACUAUAACUCAAAAGGCAAGAGGAGACAUAAAACAGAAGUUCAGAUACUAAAACAAUGGCAGUUCAGACAAUACAACAACAGAAGUUCAGACACUACAACUCCAAGGCAAGGGAGCGACAGAUGAGGGUAACUCACUCAGAAUGCUUCUCUAGACCGUCUUUACUCAACACAUACUGUUUCAACUUCCGGGCCUCGGAUAGAUGAGGGUAACUGUAUUUUUUCAGGGGAGCGAUAGGAGAACGCCACUUCAAAGGCAAUCUUGAUGCUCUCUUGGAGGAAGUUAUGUUCCCAGACUCAACUGCUAGUUUCCUCCUAGUGAUCACAACAUUCUUCCCACCUCUACCAACAAUAGUACUAGCAACACAUUUAGCAUUCUUCGGGUAAGCAAUCUUCUCAAAAUCAUCAUCGGACGAAAUCACUUCUGCUUCGGCUGCUUCGACUGCAUUAGCCUUCCUGUAGCAAGGGUUUUUUGGAGUACCACGAAUACCACCAGCCUACUUCCCCAACUUGGAAGGAAUAAGGGUCCGAGGUCUAUCAUCUUCUAUCGGAGCUAUACUCAUCGGUUCCUCCCUAGGCUGGUAUUCCUGUGACCCGAGGAAUGAGUAGUGGUAAUCGGUCAGCUCCAACGGUUCCACUGUCAAAGAAAAAAGGAAGAGAAAACAUCACCAUUAAAUACAACUGAAGUUCAAGAACAUCACAAUGUGCAGUCCAACUAAUAAAGAUGACAUGGUUACUACUCAAGCUGACCUAAAAAAAUAGUUGCAGUAAAAAACUAAAUGAAGUUCAGGUACAACCAGAGGCACAGUUCAAGAUAAACCAAUGAACUGUAAAUCAUUCAACUACAGCUAACAAAACCAUAGAAAGGCAUCAUUUCUAAAGUUCAAUUAUAAAAGAAAAUGCUCAUGUCCAUUUAAGCAAAACAAAACACACAAGCAAAAUUAAAAAAGAUAGAAAUGAAGUUCAUGUACAAAGAAAAUGCUCCUCUCCUUCCGAAACCAGCAGCCCAGCCAUACCUCAAGCAGAAGUCCAAGUUCAGAGAAAAAUAUGAAGUUCAGGUAGAAUAAAAGAUGCAGUGCAGGUAAGCAGUACAAGUUCCAAAAUACUUACAGGUGUAGUAGCCAAACAGAGCUUGGAAGUCUGUCUCAAACAGGUUAGAAGAAGCGAUUGAGUACAGCCACGUCUUCCUGAUAUCCCCGAUAUUCUCAUGGGAAUAAUUUGCAAGAACCCUGUCAUGAUACGAAUGAACAUUCGUAAGCAUGAAGAAUCCGCAGUCGAUACUGCCAUCAAACAAAGUAAAAGAAAUAGUGUUAGGACAGAAAAAGAAAGCCAACGAAUUAAACACGUUGCAGCUUAAGUACAACUACAGUUAAACGGAUGUGAUAAAGAGAAAAAGUCGAACUCAUACUUGUUUUGCUGCUGGGGGACAUCAAUCCAAUCCAGAGGGAAAUUGUCGAUGCUAAUAGGACUGAAGGGUGUCUCCCUGUCGUUGCUGGCAUCCUUCCAAAGCCUCUUGAUGUUGUCGGUCAUCUGUCGAAACAGGCGUACCGCACAUCAUCUUUUGGUCCAUAGUAGGAAUCGAGAAGCUGGAACCUUGAAUUCUUCAGGUCAAGGAAUACCGACACCCAAUGACCGACACCACCCAUGGAAGCAGGAAGCUCAGGCGGGUCAAAAGUAGGGAAAACAACCUGAAGCAUCAUAAACACACGAAUCAUUAAAAAAAUGAGAAUUAAUAUCAGAAUGGUACAAAAGAAAAAUAAAACAAAUAUUAACACAGUGGAUCACACUGCAAAACUAAUACAGAGGCAAAGAACAAGAUAUUGCAUACCGAAUCAUGUGCAUCCAUGCUAUCUGGACCACUCGCCAUGAAGUACUUCCUCACACGGGAAUCAAAUUGACCUAUGAAAAUCUUGUCCUAAAAUAAUGCAGACAACACCAACAUAUGAAAAAAAUACAAAAAUGAGAUGAACAAGUUUUAACUAAAAUGGUAAGGAACAAAACAGAAAAGAAAUCACUGUAUGGUUGACUUACACAAACCCAAUACGGCAGGAUGAGUUUAUCCGAUCCCUGGUACUUCGCACGUAGACAAUAGAGUGCACACUCAGCCACAUUAGAUGUAAGCAUUCCGCAAGGACCAAAAGAUAUUGCGACUUCUUGAACAGAAGCUUCACACUCCUUGUUUCGGAACAUAAUCAUUGAUCUAAAACAAGCGAAUAGAAAGUAAAACAAGUUCAGUAGCAGGAACUCAGGAAGUUCAUAACACAUGUUAGCACAGAAGUUCAACUAUAUCACAACAGGCAGUACAGUAAAAAACAGGCCAGAAGUUCAGCGCCAGAGAAGCAAAAAAACAAGAAGUUCAGGUACAUAGAGUUGAGAAGUUCAGGUAUGAAACCACAGGCAGUUCACAGGGGGUACAUGGAUGAUGUAAAUGUUGAGCAGCUGCACUCACCUCUUGGAACGGUCAUUCCUAAGCCUAGUUACACUGUAAUAAAAGUCAUCAACCUUCUUUUGCACGACAGCAAGGUCGCUAUCUGCUCACCAAAAAGAAAAUAGCAAUUAACAGCAACACUCAAAGCACAUAGAUUCACGACAGUUUCAAUUAAGACCAACAUUCAAGCAUAAACAUUCAAAACAUAAGCACAUCUCAGCUUCUACAUCAGAAAAGAUAAAACCACAGCAUCAUAGAUAUCACAACCCAUGCAUUACAAACCUCCACCCACAUAGAAAACAGGUUCACUUAACAUUCUUUACAACCCACAUGACGAACAACAAAACCAGAAGUUCAACCUAGACCACACAGGCAGUUCACAGGGGAUAUCAUGGACUAAACCAAACAACAAAGAGGGAAGGGGAUGGGGAAAGAAGAGAGAAGCAUGCUCCUCUCUUCAUGGAUCCUUUCCUAGACCAGUGGCAGCACUUGAAUGAUCAACCUCCUCUCCAUAACUAUCGCUUUCGGUAUCUUCAUCAUCGUCUCCAGCAGACGUUGCAGCAUCGUCAGGAAGGACACCAGCAGCAGCUGGAGCAGCUGGAGAAGCUAAAACAAGAAAAACUUUUGGUUGUGCCUGUACAGCAUUAACAUCAACUGAUGGCUCUGCUGCAGGAGACUUCUUCGGGCUUGCAGCAGCACUACCACCAGUUUCAACAGCAAACUCAACAGCAUCUUUCUCCAAAAUGAUGUCUCCAGUUGUCUUGCCCUGCUCAGCAUUAGAAACCUCGGCGACAAUGGACGACUGAGGUUCAGUCAGGACCACCCGUCGGAGCAGCCGGUGCCUGAGACGGACAUGUCUGCAACCUUCUCUGGAGGAACACUAACAUCAUCAUUCUGCUGCUGCAAAAAGAAACAGAAAGUCAUUACAAAGAGCUGACUGAACCUCAUGCACAGGAGCAGCAAGUCCAUCUCAGGGGCAACAAGACAAAUGGACAAGAAAAAUGGUACCUCAUUUUCACUGCCAUGAACCUCAUCAACUAUUACGCCACUAGCCGGAGCAGGUUCAUGCACAGGGGCAGCCUCAUGCACAGGAGCAGCUUCAUGCGCAGGUAAAACAUCCUCCUCAACCCUAGCAUCAUCAGCAACAACCUAAAAAAUAAAAAAAAAUCAUUUAGAAAACAAAUACCUAAUCAGCAGAAGUUCAGAUUGCACAAUCAGAGAAGGUCAGCUAUCACAACUGACACAUAAUGGAAGUCCAAAUACAGUAAACAUAGCAGGUCAGAUAUCAAACUACGCUAAGAUACAAAAGGGAACAAAAAAGGGCCAGUCAUGGAAGUUCAGGUGCUGUAGCAGUUGAAGUUCAGGUUCAAUAAAAAGAUAAGGUCACCUAGGAACACUAGUGGUAAAAAAACAGUUUACGACACAUCAAAUCAACAACACUCGCCUAUGACCACAAAUAGUAAUAACUGAAAGCUAACAUUGAACAUUAGUGCAAAGAAAUACCAAAAAUCCAACAUAAACAAACCUCUCUGGUAUGCUCCACGUGGCCUCCUUCACGACCCGAACAAACAGAAUCCUGCCUCUGAAUCUGUCUCACAACAACACUUGCCUCAUCUUCAAAAGGCUUGCAACGAGCAUCCUGCAUUUCCUUGAACAGCCCAACGCUAGUCCGGAGGUGGGAAGUGCUCUGACGAAGCUCUUCAAGAAAUUUACCUUCAAUACAUAAGAUCUCCUUCAAAGACUCAACAUCAAACCCGUGCCCGGGAGGAAGAAUCCCAUCAACGCAACUAAGGUCCUCAGCAGUCGAAGGAACACGAGCCAACUCCCCACAAAUAGUUUCAAGAAGACUGUCAAUCCUAACCAGAGAAACAUUGGCAGCUUCAAACAAAUCCUGGGAAGAAACACCACCUACAGCACUCACACGGGUAGAAGAACCUCCUGGAUCUACAGGGGGGCACCGGUAUUAACAUCCCGGGAGAAUUCAAAUCUUGGGGAACUUCCACUCCCUAGGCCGGCAGAACGAGGCAUAGUUAGAACAUGACAUUCGAUAACCCUAAAGAACACAACCUCAGCCUGUGUCUUCCACUGCAUACAAAAACAAAAGUCAACGCGUCAGAAAACAAAUGAAGGAACAUGGGAACAAAAAAUAUACAAGACAAUACCAGAAGUUCAAGGUAAACUACCCAGGAAAGAAUAAUGCAUAGAAACACUCACAGGCAGUCUCCCAAACACCCAGUUGGCUGGGUCAUCAUCGCCUUUCAUGAGCAAGUCAGCCGCAGCAAGCUCAAGAAGCUUGGCCCGAUCCAUGAAAUUGAUGCGAGGGGUCCUCAAGUGUAACAUCCCAAAUUUUCAAUUUGGAAUGUUAUACAUUAGAUCAUCAUGCAUAUCAUAUUUUUUUUGCUUUGGGUUUUGAUCCUAGAAAAUUCUAAGCAACUCAAGGACCCACGGAGAGAUUUGGGGAUUUCGUUAUUUUCAUAUUUAAGUUUUCUCAAAUUUUGAGAAUAGGAUCAUUUGAUUUUAUUUAUUUUAUCAUCAAUUAUUUCUAUUACAAAAAUAUGAGAGAGGGAAUAAAAUGACUUUCCCAAAAUAUAGAAAUAUUGAGGAUUUAAUAAAAAAUCAAAUAGUUUUAUUUCGGAGUUUUUGUUGUUGUUUUUAUUUGAAUUAGGAAAAAUGCGCGUUUUUCAAAAUUGCAUUUAGGGCCCAAAUAAAUGUUCACUUUGUCGGGCUUGAUUUUAGAAGGCCGGAAAAUUUAUUUCGGGAUUUUUGGAGUCCGUUUAGUAUUUCUUUUUAUUUUUCUUCCGAGGGAAAAAAAAGCAACCGACUACGGGCCGUAACCGGCCAGAACUCUGCCGACCGGGGGGCUUUAUAAGCCGCGCCUCGGGCCCGAGCCAGCCCACCAGCAGCCGCCGCCCGAACCCUAACCCUAGCCGCCAGCCACUGCCACCGCCGCCAGCCGCCGCCGUCGCCGCCCCGCCGCCGAUCCACCGGAGCCGCGCGUCGCCCGAGGUUCGCCGCACCUCGAAUCCGUGCCGUUUUUAAAAAAAAUCCGUUUGUCGUUUUUCUUUUUCGUCGGAUUUUUUCGCGGUUAUUUUGUGAUCGCGAUUUCUGAUCCGGUUUUCGUUUAAGUUUUUCUUUUCGCUCGUUUAUCGGAAUCAGGCUAUUCAAGCGCUUGGAGUUUCGUCUCGAAACCCUCUAUCCGAAUAAUCAACUUAAACAAGUUUUUGCUACUGUAAAAUUUGACUUAGGUUCAGAUUACUAGAACGAAGUUGUUUUCUUUCGCCGUUUGACUUUCUUUGCUUCGUUCGAUUUGAUUCCUUUUGCCAACCGGAGUUCUUAAGUUGAACCUUCUAGUUAGAUCUCUUAUUUGAGUUUUACCUGUGCAUUAGAUGAGUACUUAUUGUAUGCUUGCUUGUUUGCCUACGAUAGAGUACCCGGAGUGCGCCGCCUGUUACUUCGAAUCGUUAGGUUUCACGGAUCAUCAGCAAGGCAAGUAACACUUUGAUCAUACCUUUUCUACAACCCAGUUUUUUUGCAUUAUAUCAAUCUUCACACAUUGCAUGAUUAGGAUCUAAUUAAACUGUGGGAUGGGAAGUAGAUGAGAGAGUAUCUAUUACCUGUUUAUUAUCAAACCUUUGGGAGUUACUUCUACGUUUGCUUAUUAUGCCAUGCUAUGCUAGUAGACGUGGAUUGGGUGAGUGAAAUCCAUGACAAAUGUGAGAUUGAUAAUUAAUGGUUUAUCUAAGGUGGCAACUUAAAUACACAUCUGGGUGGAUUGAGGCACCUGGGUAUUCCAGGACAUGCCUGUUUUUUUUUGGACCGCCACCCAGGCUCAAAGGGAUCGUGAGAUUUUUCAAACUAGAAACUUCCGUGUGUAGCCACAAGCCAUUAUGGGCUCUGGCAUAGUUGAUUAAGUCGUGCGAACUCUUACAGGGUAGACUAGCAGAUGUAGGGGAAAGGAGGUGUACCGGUCUAUCCAUCGUAAGGUGCUAGCGCUUCUGAAAGACUGUGUCUCGGUCAUCCGUUUCUCAAACACCAUGUAGUGCGAGAAAUCCAACGGAGGCGAUCGAGUCUUGUGGGGAAAAGUGCGCAAACCUCUGCAGAGUGUAACAAACUAAUCAUGAUUAGCCAUGUCCCUGAUUAUGGACAUCUUGAGUAUCUAGUAUCUGGAUUAUCAUGUGAAUCUCAACAUGUUACUCUAAAAUUAAUGUUGUUGGGUUAAUGAUGAUGCUUAAUUGGGAUUGAGAAUGCUGUCAACCAUUCUCAAUGUUUAACAACCACCAUGAUAGUACUUAAAUUUAUUCCUUUUGAAGUAGGGAAAAAUUGGCUUUAUGCAAAACUGUAACCAUAGAGCUUUCCACCAGCUAAAUAUGCAUAUAGUAUAGCUGUUGCAUUCCAUUACUCUCUAUGUGUUACCUUGCCAGCAUAUUCCAUGUGCUGACCCAUUUUCGGGCUGCAACGUUAAUGUUGCAGACUUUUCAGACGACGAUUAAGGAGUUUUUAGGUCGUGGUUCUAUACUCAGUGAUGCCGUUGGAGUUGAUGGACUCACUUAUCUUCUAAGCCUUCCGCUGUUAUCGUAAUUAGAUGGCCUUAAGCCAUAUUUAUUGUAAUAAGUUCUCUUUUGAGACACUCGAUGUAAUAAGUGUCUGAUUGCUACUCUGCUAUAAAUCCUUCGAGUACUGUGUGGUGUCAGCAUUACUGAUCUAGGGAUGACACCGGAGCACAGAGAUCAGACUGUUUGAGGUCUGGUCGCUACAGAGAUGGUAUCAGAGCACACGCUAACUCUAGGACAUGACCACUAAGCUAAAGACCUAGAUCACUACUCACUCUCUUCUCUUCUGACCUCUCAUCUUUUCUACUCUUUAGGAUGGCGGAUGCAAGGAACAAGUUCACCCAAACGGAUGAAGAUACACCCUUUGGACGCCACUUGAAGGAAGUCACUAGAUACCUGAACAUAGGAGUACCAAGCUUCACAGGAACCUACAACGCCACUUUACCUGAAGAAGAGCGCUGGAUGAUUCAAGUUCAAAUCCCAGGAAGGACGUUCAUGCCAGUCACUGAGCCCAUAGAGUUUUCUUUUGAUGCACCAACUUGGAGUCUAGGAAAGAGCAUGACAGCUCACAUCGCCAUGGGACGCAUUGGAGAAGUCUACCGCAAGGAUCUUAAGGAUACUAUAUACCAGAUUUGUGGGUGCCGAGAUGAACACUGGGAGAUGAUUAACACCAGGAAAGAUAGAUCAAUCGCAGCUUUUAUCCAAGAGUUAAACCAGCACAUUCGACGACAGGAGAAUCAGAUGUGCGCCGACAUGAUAGAUCUGAAGAAGGCUAAGACUAGAAUCAAGGAACUGGAGGAAGAACUCAAGGCUACAUGUGAAGAUUAUGAAGAAUAAAUUGAAGUCUUGGUGGAUAAGAAUGCCGACCUAACUAUGAAGCUAGCAAUAUUUAUGGGAGGCCCGACACCAGUAGAUGAAGACGAAGAACCCAAGGAGAUUAGCCUGGAAGACUACAUCAUCAUCGCCGGCACCGACUCGGAAGCAGAUAGUAGCGAUGAUGAUUAUGUUAAUGAAGCAGGAGCAGAUAUCAUGGAGUCUACAACCGUAGAAUAUUUCUAGUAGACCACCUCAUCAGUAGUAGUAGUCCACCAUGUAAAUAUAGUAGUCUGAGCACUUUGCGAUAGUUAGAUCGAUUGUAUGCCUUUGUUUGUUUGAAUGAAGUGAAUUGUUUGCUUUUGCCUCAUGUGCAUAUGGGUAGUGUUUUCUCUUUAGACCCCCUCUAUUCUUAUAUCUCAUCUCUUCUAAACCUCAGAUGCCUCCGAGACGUGACCCCGGAUUUGCCUUUCCGCCGGAGCUCACCCAGUUGAUCCAGAAGCAGAACACCUUGAUGCAGUUGCUAGUCCAGAAUCAGAAUCAGGGGAACAACAACAACAACCCACCACCAUCACCACCUGUUGACCACUUAGCCCGCUUUCUUAGGCUGAAUCCGCUGGUGUUUUCCAGUAGCACCGAGCCGAUAGUAGAAGAUGAUUGGCUCCGCAAGACAGCUAGGGAGUUGACCACAACAGGAUGCACAGAUGCGGAGAAGGUGAAGUUUGCCACACAUCAGUUAGAAGGACCCGCAGCAUCAUGGUGGGAGAAUUUCACAGCCACCUUUCCAGUCGACAUUGUCACAUGGGAUCAAUUUCAGCAGGCUUUCCGUACUGCCCAUGUUUCAGCAGGAGCAAUGGCCAUGAAGAAGCGUGAGUUUCGUAACUUGCGCCAAGGAGGACGGACAGUUGGCCAGUAUGUGGAGGAGUUUAGUAAGCUAGCACGUUAUGCCCCAGAUGACGUUGCUACGGAUGCAGCUAAGCAGGAGAAGUUCCUGGAAGGACUGAAUGAUGAGUUGAGUAUGCAGUUGAUGGUAGCCACCUUCAACAACUACCAGGAGUUGGUCGACCGUGCUCUUAUGAUUGAAGGGAAGCAACAGCAAAUUGAGAACCACAAGAGGAAGUAUGGACAAGGAAAGUAUAAUUCAGGAGCUCAGCAGAAGCCACGUUUUACCCCUAGACCGGGAGGACAUUUUCAGCAUACCCAUGGAGUAGGUAGCUCGCACAAUCACAAUGGCACCAAGAAUGGUAAUGGGAAUGGAGGAAGCAAUGGCCAGAACCGCAGCACCCCAUCAACCCCAGCCAAGAGAGAUUUGAGUCAAGUCACCUGUUUCAAGUGUUCCAAGACCGGACAUUAUGCCAAUGAAUGUCCUGAAGGCCAAAACGGCAAUGGAAGCUCUGGAAAGAAGCCGAACCCUUUCAACAGGGGACAGGUGAACCACGUUAAUGUGGAGGAGGUUGAAGCUCAGCCCGAUGCAGUAAUAGGUAAGUUUUUGGUUAAGUCAUUUACUGCACUCAUUCUUUUUGAUACUGGUGCAUCGCAUUCAUACAUAUCAAGGGGAUUUGUGGAAAAGUAUAGCCUACCCACUAGGGUUCUCAAAACACCUAUGCUAGUAAGCUCACCAGGAGCAGAGUACAUGGCCAGUCAAGGAUGUUUUCAAGUGCCAUUAAGUAUAGGACGACAUGUUUUCCCAACAGAUUUAAUUAUUCUAGAAUCUCAAGGUCUGGAUGUGAUUCUUGGUAUGGAUUGGCUGUCGAUGUAUGGAGGAAACAUCGAUUGUGCUAGUAAGUCAAUUUUGCUUACCACCACAGAAGGGAGAAGGAUCAAGUAUGUAUCCCGGCAUGCGCUAAACAAGACACAAGUAAAUUCAUUAACAAGAGUUGUGCAGGAGGAAGUACCAGUGGUAAGGGAAUUCCCUGAUGUUUUUCCAGAUGAGUUGCCAGGCAUGCCACCGGAUAGAGAUAUUGAGUUCUUGAUUAAGCUAUUGCCAGGCACAGGGCCAAUAUCAAAGAGACCAUAUAGGAUGCCAGCAAAGGAUUUGGUGGAAAUUAAGAAACAGAUUAAGGAGUUACUGGAUAAAGGUUACAUUCGCCCAAGUUCUUCACCUUGGGGAUCACCAGUACUAUUAGUAGAGAAGAAGGAUGGAUUGUCAAGGAUGGUUGUUGAUUAUCGAGGAUUGAAUGAAGUAACAAUCAAGAACAAGUACCCGCUACCAAUGAUCAAUGAUCUGUUUGACCGAUUGCAAGGAGCUAAAGUGUUUUCCAAGAUCGAUUUGCGAUCAGGGUACCACCAGUUGAAGAUUCGAGAACAGGAUAUUCCGAAGACAGCUUUUACCAUCAGGUAUGGGCUGUAUGAGUAUACCGUUAUGUCAUUUGGUCUGACUAACACGCCUGCCUAUUUUAUGAACAUGAUGAACAAAGUGUUUAUGGAGUUUUUGGAUAAGUUCGUCGUAGUGUUCAUUGAUGAUAUCCUGGUUUAUUCAAAGAAUGAAGAGGAACAUAAGGAGCAUUUGCGUUUGGUACUUGGAAAGCUCAGAGAACAUCAAUUAUAUGCCAAGUUUAGCAAAUGUGAGUUUUGGUUGAAGGAAGUAGGAUUCCUCGGACACGUUAUAUCUGGAGAAGGUAUAGCUGUUGAUCCCACUAAAGUUGAUACCGUGACCAAGUGGGAAGCCCCAACUACCGUUGGAGAGAUCCGGAGUUUUCUUGGACUCACGGGAUACUGCCGGAGGUUUAUUGAGAAUUUUUCAGAGAUUGCGAAGCCUAUGAUGAAGUUGUUGAAGAAAGAUACCAAGUUCAAAUGGACUGAGCAGUGUGAGGCUAGUUUCCAGGAGUUGAAGAAACGCUUGGUUACCUCACCAGUGUUGAUUUUGCCAGAUCAGACCAAGGAUUAUGAGGUGUAUUGCGAUGCUUCACGUCGAGGACUUGGAUCAGUGCUUAUGCAGGAAGGGAGAGUUGUUUCAUAUGCCUCAAGACAACUGAAGCCCCAUGAGUUGAAUUACGCUACGCAUGAUUUGGAGUUAGCAGUCGUAGUGCAUGCCUUGAAGACAUGGAGACAUUUCCUCAUCGGAAAUCAUUGUGAGGUGUACACGGAUCAUAAGAGUUUGAAGUACAUUUUCACACAGAAGGAGUUGAACCUCAGACAAAGGAGAUGGUUGGAGCUCAUCAAUGAUUAUGAUAUGAAAUUGCAUUAUCAUCCCGGGAAGGCUAAUGUAGUAGCUGAUGCAUUAAGCUGCAAGAGCCAUGUCAAUACGUUAAUGACGGGAGAAAUACCCAAGGAGUUAGCAGAAAAUCUUCGUGAACUAUGUUUGGAAAUAGUUCCGAGAGGCUAUGUAGCAACGUUGGAAAUUCAGUCAACUUUGAUGGACAGAAUCAGGGAAGCUCAGAAGACUGACAAGGAGAUUGCUUCCAUAAAGGAGAAAAUGAAAGAAGGAAAAGCUAAAGGAUUUCGUGAGGAUGAGCAUGAUACCCUAUGGUUUGAAGACCGUGUCUAUGUGCCCAAUGACCCGGAGAUCGGGAAGUUAAUUCUGCAAGAGGCCCAUGAUUCACCCUAUUCGAUUCACCCAGGGAAUACCAAGAUGUAUCUGGAUUUGAAGGAUAUUUUCUGGUGGACCGGAAUGAAGAAAGAAAUAGCAGAGUAUGUAGCAGUUUGUGAUGUAUGCCAGAGAGUAAAGGCAGAGCAUCAGAAGCCAGCAGGAUUGUUACAACCAUUGCCGAUACCCGAAUGGAAGUGGGAUAAGUUAGGCAUGGAUUUUAUCGCGGGAUUGCCCAGGACUCGUUCAGUCUAUGACUCGAUUUGGGUUGUAGUCGAUCGAUUGACGAAAGUAGCUCAUUUCAUCCCAGUAAAGACCACUUAUAACAGUGCUAAGUUGGCAAAAAUAUACAUGACCAGAAUAGUAUGUCUGCAUGGAGUUCCGAGGAGUAUCGUAUCAGAUAGAGGAACCCAGUUUACCUCAAAGUUCUAGAAGCAGUUGCAUGAAACUUUGGGAACCAGGCUAGAAUUCAGUAUAGCUUUUCAUCCGCAGACAGAUGGACAGACCGAGACAGUCAAUCAGAUUUUGGAGGAUAUGCUAAGAGCUUGUGCGCUAGAUUAUGGAUCUAGUUGGGACGAUAAUUUUCCAUAUGCAGAGUUCUCUUACAACAACAGUUACCAAACCAGUUUGAAGAUGGCCCCUUUCGAAGCUUUGUACGGAAGGAGGUGCAGGACACCGCUGUCGUGGGACGAAGUCGGAUACCGCCAGUUGUUUGGACCUGACUUGAUUAAGGAGUCUGAACAGAAAGUGAAGUUGAUUCGCGAUAGGCUCAAGGUAGCCCAGUCCAGAUAGAAGAGUUAUGCUGAUUCUAAACGCGAGGAGACAGUUUACGAAGUUGGAGACAGAGCUUAUCUUCGAGUAUCUCCACUUCGGGGAACAAAGCGUUUUGGAGUUAAAGGGAAGUUAGCGCCACGAUUUGUAGGACCAUAUCGAAUUUUGGAGCGUAUGGGAGAAGUGGCCUACAAGUUGGAAUUGCCCGAAGGAUUGUCAGGAAUUCAUGAUGUGUUCCACGUUUCUCAGUUAAAGAAGUGUCACGCGGAGAUGGCUGACAUACCAUUGAGAGACACAGUGCCUUUGGAAACUAUUCAGUUGGAUAAUGAUUUGACCUACGAGGAGAAACCAGUUAAGAUCCUCGAGUUUGCCAGCCGAGUUACUCGCAACAAAGUUAUCAAGUUUUGCAAGGUUCAGUGGAGCCACCACACGGAGGAUGAAGCCACCUGGGAACGAGAGGAAGAUUUGCUCAAAGACCACCCUCACCUAUUUUCUAGCCAACCCGAAUCUCGAGGGCGAGAUUCAUCUUAAGGGGGGUAGGUUUGUAACAUCCCAAAUUUUCAAUUUCGAAUGUUAUACAUUAGAUCAUCAUGCAUAUCAUAUUUUAUUUGCUUUGGGUUUUGAUCCUAGAAAAUUCUAAGCAACUCAAGGACCCACGGAGAGAGUUGGGGAUUUCGUUAUUUUCAUAUUUGAGUUUUCUCAAAUUUUGAGAAUAGGAUCAUUUGAUUUUAUUUAUUUUAUCAUCAAUUAUUUCUAUUACAAAAAUAUGAGAGAGGGAAUAAAAUGACUUUCCCAAAAUAUAGAAAUAUUGAGGAUUUAAUAAAAAAUCAAAUAAUUUUAUUUCGGAGUUUUUUGUUGUUGUUUUUAUUUGAAUUAGGAAAAAUGCGUGUUUUUCAAAAUUGCAUUUAGGGCCCAAAUAAAUGUUCACUUUGUCCGGCUUGAUUUUAGAAGCCCGGGAAAAUUUAUAUCGGGAUUUUUGGAGUCCGUUUAGUAUUUCUUUUUAUUUUUCUUCCAAGCGAAAAAAAACGUAACCGACUACGGGCCGUAACCGGCCAGAACUCUACCGGUCGGGGGGCUUUAUAAGCCGCGCCUCGGGCCCGAGCCAGCCCACCAGCAGCCGCCGCUCGAACCCUAACCCUAGCCGCCGCCAGCCGCCGCCGCCGCCCCGUCGCCGAUCCGCCAGAGCCGCGCGCCGCCCGAGGUUCGCCGCACCUCGAAUCCGUGCCGUUUUUUUUAAAAAAUUCCGUUCGUUGUUUUUCUUUUUCGUCGGAUUUUUUCGUGGUUAUUUUCUGAUCGCGAUUUCUGAUCCGAUUUUCGUUUUAGUUUUUCUUUUUGCUCGUUUAUCGGAAUCAGGCAAUUCAAGCGCCUGGAGUUUCGUCUCGAAACCCUCUACCCGAAUAAUCAACUUAAACAAGUUUUUGCUACUGUAAAAUUUGACUUAGGUUCAGAUUACUAGAACGAAGUUGUUUUCUUUCGCCGUUUGACUUUCUUUGCUUCGUACGAUUUGAUUCCUUUUGCCAACCGGAGUUCUUAAGUUGAACCUUCUGGUUAGAUCCUCUUAUUUGAGUUUUACCUAUGCAUUAGAUGAGUACUUAUUGUAUGCUUGCUUGUUUGCCUGUGAUAGAGUACCCGGAGUGUGCCGCCUGUUACUUCGAAUUGUUAGGUUUCACGGAUCAUCAGCAAGGCAAGUAACACUUUGAUCAUACCUUUUCUACAACCCAGUUUUUUUGCAUUAGAUCAAUCUUCACACAUUGCAUGAUUAGGAUCUAAGUAAACUGUGGGAUGGGAAGUAGAUGAGGUAGUACCUAUUACCUGUUUAUUAUCAAACCUUUGGGAGUUACUUCUACGUUUGCUUAUUAUGCCAUGCUAUGCUAGUAGACGUGGAUUGGGUGAGUGAAAUCCAUGACAGAUGUGAGAUUGAUAAUUAAUGGUUUAUCUAAGGUGGCAACUUAAAUACACAUCUGGGUGGAUUGAGGCACCUGGGUAUUCCAGGACAUGCCUGUUUUUUUUGGACCGCCACCCAGGCUCAAAGGGAUCAUGAGAUUUUUCAAACUAGAAACUUCCGUGUGCAGCCACAAGCCAUUAUGGGCUCUGGCAUAGUUGAUUAAGUCGUGCGAACUCUUACAGGGUAGACUAGCAGAUGUAGGGGAAAGUAGGUGUACCGGUCUAUCCAUCGUAAGGUGCUAGCGCUUCUGAAAGACUGUGUCUCGGUCAUCCGUUUCUCAAACACCAUGUAGUGCGAGAAAUCCAACGGAGGCGAUCGAGCCUUGUGGGGAAAAGUGCGCAAACCUCUGCAGAGUGUAACAAACUAAUCAUGAUUAGCCGUGUCCCCGGUUAUGGACAUCUUGAGUAUCUAGUAUCUGGAUUAUCAUGUGAAUCUCAACAUGUUACUCUAAAAUUAAUGUUGUUGGGUUAAUGAUGAUGCUUAAUUGGGAUUGAAAAUGCUAUCAACCAUUCUCAAUGUUUAACAACCACCAUGAUAGUACUUAAAUUUAUUCCUUUUGAAGUAGGGAAAAAUUGGCUUUAUGCAAAACUGUAACCAUAGAGCUUUCCACCAGCCAAAUAUGCAUAUAGUAUAGCUGUUGCAUUCCAUUACUCUCUAUGUGUUACCUUGCCAGCAUAUUCCAUGUGCUGACCCAUUUUCGGGCUGCAACGUUAAUGUUGCAGACUUUUUAGAUGACGAUUAAGGAGUUUUUAGGUCGUGGUUCUAUACUCAGUGAUGCCGUUGGAGUUGAUGGACACACUUAUCUUCUAAGCCUUCCGCUGUUAUCGUAAUUAGAUGGCCUUAAGCCAUAUUUAUUGUAAUAAGUUCCCUUUUGAGACACUCGAUGUAAUAAGUGUGUGAUUGCUACUCUGCUAUAAAUCCUCCGAGUACUGUGUGGUGUCAGCAUUACUGAUCCAGGGAUGACACCGGAGCACAGAGAUCAGACUGUUUGAGGUCUGGUCGCUACAUCAAGUCAAUAUUAGGCAUCUUGCCAAUGAUAAGGCAGUCCAGAUACAUAAGAAGCGGCGCGAUGGCACAGCCUGUGACAGCUUUUUCUCUGCUAGUACCUUGCUGAUACCUAACAACAGCACUCCGAAUAUAGUCAACAACCAACUGACAGUAGUCCAUAUCUGCCAUAUCCUCAAACACAAGGUUCUCGGCCAUUGCUGCCUCCCUGGACACUCGUGUAGACGUUCCAGGGAUAACCACCUUCAUGAAAACAAUAAGGUAAAACACCUGCAGAGCAAGAUCAUCCUUCGUCUCAUCCUUCACAAGUUCAGCGAGGAUAUUCCGCAAAUCCUUUGUCUUGAUGUCGUCACUCCUAGCAUACCCAAGCUUGCCCUUCAACCUCAUAACAGCAUCAUCGAAACCAUCAUUCGAGGGCCUAGGGGGGGUACGAUUACCUUGAGGGAACCCAAAGAGAUGGUGAAUAGCAUCACUUGUAAUACGUAUAACCUUGUUCGCCUCACCCAUGUCCAAAAUCAUGGUUGAAGGGUCAAUCCUCGUGUAGAUGUUGCCCAUCAAAGGACGAGAAAUGUUGGAAUCAACCUUCAAGUCAAACACACAACCAAAACCAGCCUUGAUAACCCUCGUCUUGUGCCUAUGUUGUAGCAUUUUCGCACACGUCUUGACCUCUCCUAGUGAGCAGCGAACUGUCUUGUUAAAACUUUUCACCUCACCUCCUCCUUGGCCACCUUCUUCGGGUGCUUUGCCUCCUCUCUUCCUCCUCUCAGGCCGCAGCACAAGCUGAUACUAAAAAAAUACAUUGACAAGGAAAAAAGGCAGAACAAUGAGACACACAAGCUUCACCAAAAUUCCACUAAUGCCUACAUACGCACCACAUCUCAGAAGUCCAACUAUGUCUACAUAGGCAGUACAACCAUGUAUGACCAGAAGUUUACAUGCUUUCAAAAAUGUUGGAAAUUUACAAAAGCAGAAGUUCAACCAUGUAUACCAAGGCAGUAAUCAAACAUGUAUCUCAGAAGUCCAACUAUGUCUACAUAGGCAGUACAACCAUGUAUGAACACUAGUUAACAUGCUUUCAAAAAUGUUGGAAAUUUAAAAAGCAGAAGUUCAACCAUAUACACUAAGGCAGUAAUCAAACAUGUAUACCAACAAGUUAAGCUUAUUUCUUCAUGUAUAUACCUAGAAGUCCAACUAUGUACACAAAGGCAGAAAUACCAUAAAAGCAAAGCACGUCGGCUAAUUUAUUCAUCUAUAUGGAGCAGAAGGUCACCUAUGUAUGCCAAGGCAGUGCUAAAAACAAUAAAACUACAGAAAUAGCGACAAAUGCUUAAAAAACAGUAAACAUGAGACAUUCAUACCUGAUUAGUGGCAGCAUCAUCAUCGUCAUUGUCCUCAUCAUCAACAUUGAAAUCAGCAUCAUCAUCGUCCUCUGGAUUAACACGAGAACGCUUCUUCACACCCUUGUUGACCUUUGCAGGUGGAACCUUGCGCUUCACGCCGCAUUUCUUCCCCUUACCAGAUGCACCAGCAUCAAGCGAAGAAGGUGUAGGCACGGCAGUGGCAAGCACACGAGGACUAUGGCAUGGCGUACCACCAACGCCUAGCCCUUCAUCUUCAACAACUUCUGCAGGCCUUGAAACACGUGGGCUCCUCCGAGGAGUAACUUCACCAACUACUAGCUUCCUCGCAGCAGUCUUCUUAAUUUUCUUCUUAACAGGGACAACCGUGCCAUCACUGCCACACGGCACGUCUUCCUCAACAAUGAGCUUAGCUGCAUGAACAGAUCCAGGAACAUCAGAACCUUUCUCAAGGCAGGCCGCCCUCUUGUCAAAAUCUUCUCGCUUCUUCCUCUUAUGUUGGUCCUCCAGGAGAAGCUGAAGAGGCACAUCCUCGGGUUGUGUGACAGGUUCAGUGCCAUCAACAGACUGCAACUGCGUCUCUGACAUCUAAAGAGAGCACAAAAGAUUCGGAACGGAAUCACAACCUUUGACUGAGGGAGCCCCCUCCUCAGCUGCAGCAGGGUUUUCUGAUAAACCCAACUCAGAUAAAACAUCGUUGAUGGUGUUCACAGCUUCCUCCUCUGUGGACACAUCUGCAAAGAACACAAAAAAUCAAAGCAAAAAAUAAAAAAGUCAGGAACAAAAACAAAAACAAACGACAUGAACAAGCUAAAAAAACAUGGCUGAAAACUUUAAAAUGAAAAGAAAAGGGGUUUCACAUACUAGGUGAAGCAAGAGCUGCAGAAGCAAGAUCCUCGAGGCUUGAAACAUUCUCAAGGCUCGAAGCAACCUCGGCAAUCAAAGUCAAAGGGAUAAUGGGUGAUUUAGCCGCAUCAGAUAUUGGAGCAUUAGUAUUAACCUCUGAAGCUCCAUCUUGAUCGCAGGCAUUUUUUUAGAACUAUUCAACUCAUCACCAACUACAAAAAAUGCAAGUAAAAAGGCAUCUGAGUUCUAAUGCACAAUCCUACACCAAAGGGACUUCUACUUUGACAACAAUGUCCAAUAACAAGAAGUUCAACAAUACCUAACAAAGCAGUAAACACAACAAACAAACUAAAAUCUACACACUAACUAUAAAAACAAUCUACACCAGAGGGGCUACUACAUAUAACAUGAAUGUCCAGAAGUUCAACGAUAUAUAACAAAGUAGUAAACACAAAAUGUGCAUAACAGAAGUUCAACCAAAUUUCAUUAUGAACAAACAAUAAUUAAAACCAGAAGUUCAACUAUGUGACCCAAGCAAAUAGCACAUAAAAAAUAUGUAGCAUGACCACAAAUAGUAUUUCACAGCCAAACUAAAUAUCAAUACAAUGAACAUGAUAACAAAUAAAAAACAAGGAUAUACACUAUAAAUAUGAAUCAUUUGGGAAGUCCAACAACACUUGGUGACAUAGUUUCACCUGCAAAUCAUCAACUAAAAAGUAAGCAACACUCUACUAACUCAAGCUAAGGGUAAAAAGCAUACACAUAACCUUUCUUAGAAGUUCACACUAAUAAGAAUGACACUCCAACAAGAAAACUAAGUGAAGAUAUGGGCACCCAUAUAUAAGAAUACUGCUUUAAAAUACAAGAUCCAACUACAUUAAGAUACCUGGAGAAGGUUUGGAAGCCAUGAAAACACAACCCCCGUGAUGAAUGAAACUCCAAACCCUAGAACAACCUACUAAAAACAGGGGAUAGAAUGCAUAUAGUUAGCAGGUAGAAAAUCAUACAACAAAUACAAAAAACAACUAAAUGAAACCCUAGGAUGAAACAACUAGAUAAUAUCAACAAGUAUGAAAACAUGAACAGUAGCACAUAUAGGCAAGCACAAACAAAAAAAGAAUCCAGAAACUAACUAGCAUGUGACAGACACAAUCUAGAAUUCGAAAUCAACAAUACUAAGACAAUUAGAUACAUCAGAUUCAACAUGAACCAUCACAUCACACUCUCUCUCACAUGCAUCUGAAUGCUGAAAUCACCAAAGGGGAAAUGAAAUCCAAUCAACUCUGAACGGAGAAAUAGCACACACAAGCAUCUCAUAGACAAAUCUGACCACAGGGGAAUGGAAUCCACCCACCACACGCACAAGAACCCUACCUAAUCUCCCAUCAAACCAUCAGAAGAAGGGGGUAGGACGCGGACGCGAGAGCAGGAGGUGAACUCGACAGAUCUGGCGAAACUAAAAGCAAGCAUUAGGGGGGCAGCAUUUGUACCUCUCAAAACAACCCCCGCACACACGAAUCCGCGACGGUUCUUCCACUCCCCACGACGCCACGCGCACCUUGCAACCGCGCAGGAAGUUGCCGCCCUCGCUUCAGAGCAGAAUAGAGCGGGCUGGGCGAGGGGGAGCGGGGCGUGGGGGAGAAAUAGAAGCGGGGGCCUGCGCCGGUUACUCCAGCACGAGGGCAGGGGACAGGGGCGAAGAAAUCGGGGGGAGUUGGAGGCGAGGAAGGCAGCGGAGCGACGGAGAGGGGGAAUAGAGCGAGCGACAGGGGGAGAGGGGUUUUCUGACAGGUGGUGACGAGGGAGAUGCUCACUUAAUGCCUAUAUGUCGUCGGAAUUACAGCGCCACUGAAUUUACAGUUUUACCCCCCAACAGCUAAAAAGUAAAUACAUCUAUAGAUAAAUGAAUGCACCAUUUGAAUGCAUCUAUUAUAAUGAGAUAACUGCACACAACAACACUGCUGAUAUCCUUAAAACCAAAAAUAGAUGGCAAAUGCACUACCAAAGGAAGAAAAAUACAUACAUAAAUAUGCACCUAAAAAAACAACAGAAAGAAGUUCAAAAAACAAAGAAUAGAAGUUCAAGUACUCUAAUAAAAGAAGUAACGGCAUAAGAAUAAAUAAACCCUAAGAAACAAAAAGAAGAAGUUCAAGUACAAAAGCAGAUGAAGUUCAUAUCUAACCCUAAACCCUAAACCCUAAACCCUAAAAACCCUAAGAUAGAUAGUGGGGUCACGGAUGUGACAGACUCGCCUCCGCAUGCGAUGACGCGACACGCCGCGUCGUCGCCUGCUCUGGCUCGUUCAUGUCUCGGCCUCGCAGGGGGACGGGAGGGGGGGUCCUGACCCCCUCCCCCCUGCUCGGCCUCGCGCUACCGCAUUGCUACGCGCUAGGAUUUGACAGGAUGCAAUGCGGUUAUUCUGUUUCCACCCCCACCGCACGCACCCUAAACCCUAAAAACCCUAAGAUAGAUAGUGGGGUCACGUAUGUGAUGGACUCACCUCCGCAUGCGACGACGCGGCAUGCCGCGUCGUCGCCNNNNNNNNNNNNNNNNNNNNNNNNNNNNNNNNNNNNNNNNNNNNNNNNNNNNNNNNNNNNNNNNNNNNNNNNNNNNNNNNNNNNNNNNNNNNNNNNNNNNNNNNNNNNNNNNNNNNNNNNNNNNNNNNNNNNNNNNNNNNNNNNNNNNNNNNNNNNNNNNNNNNNNNNNNNNNNNNNNNNNNNNNNNNNNNNNNNNNNNNNNNNNNNNNNNNNNNNNNNNNNNNNNNNNNNNNNNNNNNNNNNNNNNNNNNNNNNNNNNNNNNNNNNNNCUCGGCCUCGCAGGGGAGGGGAGGGGGGGUUCCGACCCCCCUCCCCCCUGCUCGGCCUCACGCUACCGCAUUGCUGCGCGCUAGGAUUUGACAGGACGCAAUGCAGUUAUUCUGUUUCCACCCCCACCGCACGCACCCUAAACCCUAAAAACCCUAAGAUAGAUAGUGGGGUCACGGAUGUGACGGACUCGCCUCUGCAUGCGAUGACGCGGCACGCCGCGUCGUCGCCUGCUCCGGCUCGUUCCUGUCUCGGCCCAUACUUGGGCUAAUCCCAUGAUUUCUCACAAGACAAAAAUCUAAAAAGAACAUCUAGAGAAUUAAAAAUUACAAAGAAAACCAAACAAACAAAAUAUAGAGCAUCAUGCACCUUCGCCUUCCAAUGUGGAGUGCAAAUCUCCAAAACCAGAAGUUCAACCAUUAAUAAAAAAGAAGUCCAGAUCCUACUGAAGAUAGUGCUUGUGAUCCAGCUCCACACUUACACACUAGUUACAACAAAAUUGCAGAAGGAAUCUACUAAGGGUUUUUGAUUUCUGGAAUGUAAUCUGUCCUGGAAUAUCAAUGUCAAAAAGAUGAACCUCCAUUCAAGAAUUUUUUUGCUGUGACAUAAAAAACCAAGAAAGAAGCACAUGAGGAAUAAUAAUGUUUAGUGUCGAAGAAACAAAAUGCACAAGGCGUAAGUUAACUAAUAAAAUGUUCUAAAUAAAGGUAAGUUCAAGUUGUAAAAACACAAAAGUUCGGCAUUUGGAAAAACAUCAAAUGAACAUGUAGAAAAGACAAAUAACACAGAAGCAAAAAUCUUGUAAGUUCACGUUAAACACAAACUGAAGUUCUACCACUUUUUGAAGUAUGCAAACAUGUUACAAAAAAAUAAGUAAGGUAUGCAUGCAUAUUUGGGAAUAAUCCCAUAGUUGCCACGGAACAAACUAAAACCCAAAUUAGAAAAUUGAAAAUUACAAAAAAAAACAAAAAAA